CGUGUGCUACUGUGCAACCACGCGUAUUACUGUAUUUUAACCACCAGGUAAUCCAACAGUGUUAACGGUAACAAUUAUAUCGUUAUUUAUAAAAACUCAAAUUUGUCGUUUUCUUCAUCCGCCAGUUAUUCUGUUAUAGGACCCACAAAUGGUUGCGCCGUUGUACGAAUAUUCCCUGACAACAAGAAUAUUUCACGACCAAACGAAUAUUCCCCGACAAAAUGAAUAUUUUAUAACCACUUGCUUAUUUUGCAAAAUUUGCACAUUUCACCCAUAACCAAAGUAUUAUGUCAAAUUAUCACCUUAUUAUUUCAAGAUAAUAAAUAGAGAAAUUCAAUUUUAUUUAUAAUAAGUUGGGGUGUUACAAUAGUACCCCAUGAAUAGUACCCCGACACGAAAAAGUGUCCCGAAUACCCGAGUGAAUGAUACUAGAGUGAAUAGUAAUUGGGUGAAUAGUGACCCAUGAAUAGUAACUCAUGAAUAGUACUCCGGCACGAAAAGUGCCCCGAAUACCCAAGUGAAUAAUACUAGAGUGAAUAGUAACUGGGUGAAUAAUAACCCAUGAAUAGUAACUCAUAAAAAAAAUAUACCAAAGAAAAUGAUAUUCCAUGACGAGCACAAAAGAAAUGAUAUCUCAGAUGAGUAUAAUAGAAUAUACGAAACUGCAAAUGGAUUUUCACCCGCCAUGCGGUAAUCCACGUAGACAGAUCAUUUCCACAAUUUAAUAAAGAAUGAAUACAAAGGAUCAUUCACCAUGCAUGCGGUAAUCCACUUAGAUAGGAUAUUCCAACAGAAUAAUAAAGAAUGGAAUAACAGAAGAAUUCACUAUGCAUGCGAUAGACCGCACAGACAGGUUAUUCCCAACAGAAUAAUAAAGAAUGGAACCAGGUCAUGCAUAAUCCGCACAGACAGGAUAUUCCAACAGAAUAAUAAAGAAUGGAACCAGGUCAUGCAUAAUCCGCACAGACAGGAUAUUCCAACAGAAUAAUAAAGAAUGGAAUAACAACAGAAUUCACCAGGCAUGCGAUAGACCGCACAAACAGGUUAUUCCAAUAGAAUAAUAAAGAAUAGAAUAACAGAAGAAUUUCACCAUGUAUGCGGUACUUCGCAUAGACAGGUUAUUCCAACAUAAUAAUAAAGAAUGCAAUACUAGAAGAAUUUCACCAUAUAUACGGUAGUCCGCGUAUACAGGUUAUUCCAACAGAAUAAUAAGGAAUGGAAUAACAAUAGCUCUCUUCAUGAAUAUGAAAGAAAUAAUACCCCUUACCUCAAAAGAAAACUGGAUACUGGAAUAGUGAGGUAGCAGACUUCUCUUCUUCUUUCUCUCUAUAAUUUCUCUCUUUAAUAAUUGCUCUAUAGCUUUAAUGAAUUGGUGAAAAAUAAUAAAGAAAUGACCUUCUAUUUAUAGGAAAAUAUAGUUUUGAUAAUUGCACAUUUUGGGGCUCGAAAUAUUACAGUAUAAUACAUUCCUCUUUUCCUUCAUUUUUAAUUUAGUCCUGCAAGUAUUAUCAAACUUGCACCACCUCCCCUAAUAGUAAAUCAUGUGAAUCAAUAGUUCUAGACAUGUGAAAAUAUGAAUUACAGUAUAGUACCUCCAUCUAUACCUCUAUUUUUAACUUAGUCAUGCAAGUAUUAUCAAUAUUGCACCAUCUCCCCUAAUAGUAAAUGAAUGUGAAUGAAUGUUACACACAUGUGAACAAAUAGUUAUAAUCAUGUGAAUCAAUACCAAUUAAUUGCUCAUUUAUCCGGUUAAUUACCCGAUUAGUCAAUAUAACCUCUAGACAUCAAUUAUUAUCGAAAUAAAUGUCGAUUUCCACUAACACUAAUAAUUCCAACACAAUCGAACUAUCAAUUUCAUCUUUAGUCAACACGAACUUAUUCAUCAUUAAUAUUAUAAUUCACAAUAUUUAACAACCAGGUCGUUCCCAGGAAAGAGGGUGCUUUCUAAUAAGGAUUUCUCCUUAUUGGCGCGCAAUUAGGUGACCAAACCUCUCCUUGACAGAACUUCUAGACAUUGUCAAUAUUGCAAAUAAUAAUAUGAAUAACUUUGCCGUCUCAAUUAUUGAUUUAAUAAUAUAAAAUAUUAUGCAGAUGAUACUGUGACAAUAAUUGAAUCAAUAAUAUAAGAGAUAUGAUGCAGCAAUUACUGUAGCAAUAAUUGAGUAUAACUGAGUAACUUCUCACAUAAGCAUCAAUAAUCAAUACUGUGUGCUACUAUGCAAUCAAGCGUAUUAUUGUAUUUUUAUCACCUAUUAUUUUAUGAAAACUUUCUUACUUUGAAAAAUUUUCACAUAUCACCCUUAACUUUAAACUUUUAUCAAUUUAACUAUUUACCAAAAUAGAAAAAUUGAAUACUUUAAUUUCAUAAAAUUUGGGAUCUCACACCAAUGACAUCAUUUCUUGAGUGGCCGACAUUACUUCGGCAGAAAUCUUGGGUGUGAGAAGUGGUGCACCAAUAGGAUGGUAAUGAAUGUUUCUCACCUCUAGGGCAUGAAAACUGACCAGCUCAACUUCUGAAUUGAAGCUAAUUAAUGGUAUGUCACUCUGUUCAUGAGAUUCUAGCUCAGCAUUAAUAGUGACUAGGCUGUCAUUAAUGAUGUAUUUGAGUUGCUGGUGAAGAAUGGAUGGGAUGGCUCCAGCCAUAUGAAUCCACGGUCUUCCCAAUAGCAGGUUGUAUCCUGAAUCUAUUUUGAGCACAUGAAAAGAUACGCAGAAUGUAUGGGGACCAAUCUCAAUUGGCAACUCAAUCUCUCCGAUAGAAUUUCGUCGGGAUCCAUCAAAAGCUUUAGUAACCGUAUAGCUGCUUCGGAUCCGUUUAAGAUUGAUGUUCAUCUUCACAAAAGUGGCAUAAGGACAUAUAUUCAAAGAUGAACCUCCAUCUAUCAAGACUCCUCCCACCAUAUAUCCGGAGGAUAACACCGCAAUGUGCAACGACUUGCAAUGACCGGUCCCUUCGGGUGGUAUGUCGUCAUCAGUGAAAGAUAUCACAUUGUUAUUAAAAAUGUGACCAACCAGAUGCUGGAAUUUUUCCACAUCCACUGAUUUCGGCAAAUGGGCCUCUUCCAAGACCCUUAGCAAGACCUUUCUAUGAUCUUUGAAAGAGAAAACCAAGUCCAGUAUGGAAAUUUACUGUGGAGCUUCCCUUAAGCUUAAAACCAACUUGGCUUCAUUAUGGCCCAUAAUACGGAGGAACUCUUCAAUCUUCUCCACGGGAAUUUUCCCAUUUUCUUUGAUGGAAGGCUUCAUUACCCGUUGGGGAAGAUAUAGUGGAUUCUCCUUCGACACUGCAUCAAUAGUAUGAGAUGUGGAUCCUUCAGCUUAUCCAUAAUUAUAGGGCAAUUUUUGUAGGCUGACAACAUGAUACUGUGGUCUUAAUGGUAAGUUAAUUGGCUCUGGUGCAGCCACUUUUAAAGGAUUGUCAAUACCUUUGAGUUGGAUUGAUCAUAUGAUGAGUGGUCUGGAAGCAUCAUCAACCUCAGCGGAUAUAACUGCUACUACUUCGUCUUUCCACUUUGUACAAUAUGUAUUCCCACUCUCGAGUAACAAGGUGUCAUCAUAUGCUAUCACCAGGACACCGCUGUCAAUUAAAUUCUGAAUGAGAUGGCGGAGUGCCCAGCAUUCUUCUGUGCUGUGACCAUGAGAAUGGGAGUGAUACUGACAUACUCUAUCAGAAUUAAACCGCCUUGAAUGGGGAUUAAUUGGAGGUAGAAGGGAGGUAAUUCUUCCUUCAUUGAUUAGCAUCUGAAAUAUCUCCUCCAUAGGUUGGCUCAGGUAUGUAAAUUCCCUUCUAUUGGCAAAAUCCCGACGGGCUUUGGCACUUACUCUUUUUGCAACUUUAUACUCCAUUGUUUCCCUUCUUGAAGGCGAUGAUGGAGUAUUCAUAACAAUAGGGAGGAGACUGGCAUGCUCCUGGCUGACUAAUUGGCGUGUGAUUUGGUGUUGAUGGAUCACCAAUUCUGCCAAUUGUUCGACCUGCUUGUAGAGAUCUUUCAUCUUUCGUUCCAUCAUAAACUGGAACUGUUCAUAAUCCCAUUUGUUAGCACCGUCCCUGUUGGUCUGAGAAGAUUCACCAUUAAAAUUGGAACUCUGUCCACUGCUCCAAUUAAUCAUUUUGGCCUCUUCUUCUUUGUGUUGAGGAAGAGGGUUAUCUUGCACAUGGGGUUGAUCGGGCUUGGUAAACACGAUCUCAUCGCUAUCUAUUAAUUCUUGGAUCUUGUGUUUCAAGGCCCAACAAUCUUGAGUAUCAUGUCUCGGUUCCCCGGCAUGAUAAGCACACUUCUGAGUAGCAUUAAAACCCUUCCCAUUCGGGUUGGCUGGUGGAAGAAGAUGUGUAAUUUUCUUCUGAGUAGUCAGAAGAGUAAGGAUAUUCUCGAACGAAUCCCCUAAGGGUGUGAACACCCGAGGGCGUCUGACUUCUCCACACUUAGGCAAUGGAGGGUUUGAAGAUUGGGCUUGCAAAGGGGAGUAGUUUCUCCUCUGGAUAGGCAUAUUCUAAUUGCCUUUCUGACCUUAUAGUAUCAAGGAAACAUCCUCUUCUUUUUAUGGAUACUUCGGGGGUUGUUUCCAUUAGUUCUAGACUAGAUGUGCUCAGCAACUGCUUUAAGAGCGGCUAGGUCUUGCAUCUUUCCUGACUUCAAUCCUAUCUCAGCCAUCUCUCCGUGUUUAAUCAUUUCAAAAAAUGGUUUACCAAUGCCAGCUAAGACUCUUUCAUAGAAAGGAACUAAUUGUAUAUCUAUGAAGUUCAUGACCAUUUCUGAUUCCGUCAUAGAAGGAACAACUUGAGCAGCAAGGCGCCUCCACCUUUGAGCAUACUCUCUAAAAGACUCAUUGGACUAUUUCUUGACCUUGGUAAUCUAGUACCGGUCAGGAGCCAUCUGAGACUGGAAACUGUACUGGGUGAGGAAGGCAUCAGCUAGCUCCUCCCAACUAUGGAUCUUUGAGUUGUCUAAUCUGGUAUACCAUGAAUGGGCUUCUCCAGUUAGACUCUUUUGGAAUAGCUGCAUUCUGAGCUUCUCAUCCUCUACAUAAGAUUCAAGUUCUCCAAUGAACACCUUCAGAUGUGUGUAAGGAUCCCCUAACCCAUCAUACUUUUCAAAGUCAGGAGUCUUGAACUUCUCUUGAUAAUGAACACCAGGGAAUAUACAAAGAUCAACAUAUGAAACACUCCCGCCUGCUCCAAUUCCUUUGAUAGAACGGAUGGUUUCUUCCAUUUGGAGGACUUUCUUCCUGAUAUCACCGGUGUCUAGAUCUUCUUUGAGAUGGGUGUUUUCAGGGUUUUUAUCGGUUGUAACCAACUGAAGUUCUGGAUUUAUUUUAUCCGAACCUUGGGUUCCUCCUUGUAACGACCCCAAAAUUCAUACAAUUUAAUUAUUAACUUCGGUCGUUAAUAACACGUCUACCUUCUGAUUUUACAUCAUUAUUCGAUGUUAAACUUUAUAAAAUGCGGAAUAAUUAAAAAUUUUAUGUCUUCUUACUUAAAUUCCCUGAAUCAAAACCUUUAUCAACUACAUGUCUUUGAAUCAAUCUUAUUUAAUGAUUCACUUUAUCACUAUUAUUAUAUAAAAUUUUACAUUUCAAUCCGAUAACCUUUAUAUAUCAAAUAACUCUAACUGUAGCUUUACAACUCAACAUAAAACUAUACAUCAUAAAACAUUUAAUACAUCUCAUGAAUCUUAAUCAUGGUAUAAAGAAUUUAAAAACUUUAGCUAAAAUAUUAAUCUUCGUGUAUUAUUUUGGAUCCACGUCAUUCAAGUAGCACACAGUGUUACCUUCAAUCCUUAACCUGGAAAAAUGGUUAUUUGAAAGGUUGAGCUCGACAGCCUAGCAAAAUCUAACAGUUUUCAUGCAUCACGUAACACAUAAUAACAUGCUCGACAAAUCUCAUAAACAUUGGACUAACAUAACAUAAAUGUUACAGUUCAUAUAACACAUCAUGCUCUUUGAAAUAAAGAUUUAAAACAAUCAAAUUCACAUAGUAAAUAGGAACUGAAAGACUUGCCUGAUUUGUAGUUUAUAAACUACGACUUAACUGCUUAACGCUUAUCUACACUUCGUGUAAUCCUACACAGUUAUAUAAUCAUGGAUUCACAUCCAUUAGUCAUACAUUCCAUACAUUCUUAAUAUAACAGUAACGUUACAUUAUUUCCUAACUAGGUUUGUAAAAACCAACCUUUCAAAUUCUCAUAAUACUCUUAGAAUAGCUAGGUAUGUAUUGGUAUACCUUAACCACUCAUACAUGACAUCAACAUUCAUAUAUAUCAUUCACACAUUUAACUCACUAUGUGUUCGACACAUAUUUAAAGUUCAUAGAUACGCGAUCUACAUCGUUCUUACAUUUUACAACUUUAAUAAAAUUUAACAACUCUAUGUUUUAUAUAACCAUUACAUGAUCCCAUGCUUAAACAUCAUCUAUGUCAAGUAUUAUAGCUUUAGACAUUCAUUACACAUAUGCUUUAAGGUUCAAAUCAAAGUUAAAAUAAUCAGGCAUCACUGCCCUGUGGCGCAGCUGCGCCCUGGUUAGGCUUAGGGACGACGCAGCUGCGCUGUCCCCUGGCCAGACCAGAGUUGAGUAUUUUCUAGUUCCAUCUUGGUUCUUAGCAUGUAUAACUGUUAACACAUAUCUUACCCACAUGUUAUGAGGUCUUAGCCCAAGUUUGGUGCUUCUUGUAUUUACCUUAAGUUGUUUUACACUUUAUAGCUUUAUUGCCAUUUAUUUCAUGGCUAAGUAAGUUCAUACAACAAGGGCCUAACUAUAUGACCACCCACGAGGUUAAACAACUUUCAAUAUACAUGCUUACAUGUAAUCGUAUGACUAGCAUGGUUUAUAACUUGAAAUCUUACUUUAAGACAUGUAUAGUUCAUAGUAUGUCUAUCUAAUAGUGUGCACGUACCCAUCAUGCCUAGAGGCAUAAAAAUCAUAUCAUGUUUGCACAUAUAAGCCAUGUUUAAAGACCCAAAAGUUACUAGUAUGUCAUCCUACAAGUACAAAAGUUUAGACAAUACAAUGCUCAUGAAUAAUAUUUUUAAAACGUCUAAGUUUCUUUUCAAAACACAUACUAAGUCAUGCUAAUGCUUUUUAUUAUGAGCAAGGAAAUCUUAUACGUCAUGUAUAAUAUCAUUCAUUUUCAUGUUACACCACUUAGAAUAACAUAUUCUAUCGGGAGCACUAUACUUGCGUAUGUGCUAGUUCGACACCCUCCGAUCGCCUUUGAAUACGUAAUAGUCACAAAGAUGACUAUUUUAACCCUUCCUAACAUUCUCAAAUUGAAAAACUUAAAGAACAAAAGUUGUAGGUCUAUUCGUCCUCAUUCCGGACAUCUUGAAUCACCUCAAUCAGAGUUCGUAUGAAAACGUUAUGCUUAAUUUACUAUAGGAGGUCAGAGCAGUCCACCAGUAACUGAUGUCUGGCGUAGCUGCACCCCAAUUGGCCUUAGGGGCAGCGUAGCUGCGCCCUGGGAAGCAGUACAGCCCCUCAGGCUCUGUUCUACACAAUUUUAUAGACCCCAACCCCUUCCGAUGAUCAUAACCCGAGUUAUACUUAUCCAAUUUAGUUCAUUUUUGAUUCUAUAAGUUCGUAACUCAUAAAUCUACAACAUACCAACUACCCAAUAAUUAUCAUAAACAUUAACUAACCCAAAAAUGAAUCUAUAACUCAUUUUCAUACUAGUUGUUCAUGUUUUGACAAUUUAGCGAAUUCAUUAGCUACGAAUUCGUUUCUCAACCAAAUUGCUUCGUUUAACUUUCGUUGUUUUUGCUUCUUCAUAUAUUAUCACUAUCAAACAUCAAUUCAUAGAUUAUAACACAUAUUGGAUAUAAAUUUCUUACUUUCUUAAGCCAUAUCACAUGAAUACACACUAAUAUUUACUUUUCUUCUUCAAACCCAUUUUCCAUGAAUUUAAUACUUUAAAACCAUUUGAAGACAACAUAUAACAGAUUAUGAACCUUCUACAACACAAUUAUCAAAUUCGCACAAUCCCAUAUUAGAAAUUUAGAACAUAAACUUAGGUUUUUAUACCUUCAAUACUUGAUUUCUUUGCAAGAUGGUCACAAGCUUUAGCAAUCCUUCUCCCUCUUCUAGACAAUCUCAGAGAAUUCUCUCAAGCUCUCAUUCUCUGUGUUUUUCUCUCUUCUUCUCUCUUCUUACUCAUCUCUCUCUAUACUCACGUACUCUUCAAUUAUCAAAACCAAAAGACGUCAGCUAAAAAAAACCCCAAAGGCCACAAGGCCUUGUUUGGCUGAACAUAUAAUUCCCAUACUAGUUUAUUUUUAUAACUUCCUUAUUAUAUAGUACCCCAUCGUCACACUUUAUUUAAUUUAAUUACUUAAUAUAAUUCCAAUUUUAUUUAACAAAUCAUUAGCCCCUCUGAUUUAAUUAUUUACUUAAAUUAGGACAUCACCAACACAUUAGCGUAAUAAAAUACGCACAAAUUAUAAAAUUAUUUAUCAUCAAUUUACUUAAUAUUAUCAUACACGAAUAAAUUAUUCCAUAAUAAUUUUCAUCAAAUAUUUACUUCAUUUAAUAAAUAUCUCAACUAAAAUAUUUAUUUUACUUGAUAACUAUCGUAACUAUUCAUAAAAUUCACAAUUAAAUUACAUUAACAUAUUACAUUUAUAUGUAACACAUUACCCUCUCAUUUUAUUAAAAUAAAUAUAUUUACAUUAAUUCACUAUUUUAAUUAAGUGAAUUACUCUCAAUAUUUAUGAAAUUUAAUUCAUAACAAUUCCAUUGCCAAUAAGGCAUAAUAAUCAAAUAAUAUAUUAUAUUUUAAUUAUUAAAUUCCUAUUUUAAUAACUUAUAAAAAUUCGGGUUGUCACAUCCUUCCCUCCUUAUAAGGAUUCCGUCCUCGGAAUCACCGAAACCCUACCUUACUCAGGUUUUCAUCAAAUCUCUUCGUUGAAUAACUUCAACACAUUACCUUAAUAUAGGUUUUAUACUUCCUACUCCCACCAUUCUUGAUAAUAAGUUUUUGUAAGUUUUAUUUCAUAACUUUCACUUGAACUCAAUUAUAUUUGAGUAUUAUAUAUUCUUUAACCCAUUCAUUUCCUUUUCUAAAGAUCGUUAUCAUAAACACUCGGGAUAUUACACUCCUUGUGUAGAGGAUUCUGUAUGUACGGGUAUCCGGGAACCCUAAGUAGACUGGUGUAGUUCUUUAAGCAGAACAACCAAAUCUGUAAUUUCUUUACUUAAUCCGUCAAAUUCUUCAUGAGAAACAGGAUUAAGAUUAAACUGGUCAGAUGAAGACAUAAUUGGCUGUAGGCUCGUGGCCUUUUUGGAUUUUGAGCGGGUAACAGGCCCAAUUGUUUCCCUACAAAAAGACUUGCAUAGUUUAGUCUUAGGGAAUGUAUAAAUGUUUACAUGAUAUGUAAUGUAUCCGUUUUAGGAAUAUUACCCUGCAAAAUGGAUGUUAGCUGUUUGCAAUACAGGAUAACAUGUUAAUUAUUUAAAUAUGCAUAUACACAUAUUUCUUCAUAUUUCCCAUUACAUGGAGAUUGAUAUGGAAUGAUAUUACAGUUAAAUGAUUUUACAAGUAAUUGAAAAUAGAAAGUAUGAAGAGACUUUCCUCCGCAUUUAGUUUAACAGAGGCUGAUCUAUCUUAGGUUUACUCUCGUGGCUUUUUGGCAUGAAGGUUCCCAGAUCAUCGCAAUCUACUUGACGGAAAAUUAAUCCGGUAUUUCAACUGGAGCGAAUCUGGGUGGUUCUUUUCCUGAGCCUCUUUGGAAUUAGUCUCCCUACGAGUCCAGUAAUCAAACACCAACAGGAUAGCCCCCUAGUGGAGGAACCACACAACAUACAUUCACAUACAACGUUUCUCACCGUUUUAUAAAAAUGAUGACAUGUGUGAAGCGCUAAUAUCAUAAGCAGAUAGAGUGUAAAGCAUUAAGUGCAGUAAAUAUAUGCAUUCGUACACAUUCAUCAAAAUGUAAAUACAACAUCCACACACAAGCACAUAAUAGUUUUGAAAAAGAUUGUAGUAACGACUUAAGCCCUCUUACCGGUGUCCCCAGCAGAGUCGCCACCUAUCGACGUCGGGAUUUUUAUCUGUCCCUUUUCUAUUCUUGUUCUUUGGUGUUCUCAUGUUAGGUGAGAUUUGUUUGAAAAAAUAAGUGCAAAACGUCCGACAUUUAUAUGUCGACGAUUUAACUGUAAGAGUCGCCAGUUGGUGUUUUUUACUGGUUGCACCAACGCAAGCGAGAAAAACUUUGCACAUUGACCAGUGAUGUGACACUGCUAAACGGGUCUGUGAAACUGAGAUUCAUUAGGGUCCGGGGGCUUGAUUAUGAGGAGGGAAGGUGUUAGGCACCCCCCGACAUUCGUAUUACCACGGUGACCGCCACUUUUCAAGAAAUUGUUAUGUGAAUGUGUAUGUGUGGGUCAAUGUGAAGUUAUUUGGAAGUAGUGUGAGGCCUCGUUCGCACCUAUAUACAAAGGGUUUGAAUUUGUGUAAAAAUUCAGUUUUAAACAAGAUAUAGCAGUGAUGUUUUGUAAGAGGUUUUUCAAACCCUUAUGCUCAAUAGUAAUUGAGGCCUUUGAUACUUCCAUUUUAUUAUAUGUUAGGCUUGAUUGCUUUUAUUUUUGAGAUGCGAAGAAUCUUCGAGAAAAUAAUGUACAAAGCAGUGUCGAACUCCUCAUGGGCAUGAAAGCCAUCUAAGGAAGUCCAAACUCCGUGAAUAAUUUACAAGCUGCUUAUAGCUGAAAAUGUCCAUCCUGGGAACCGAAUCUAGAUUCAGUAUACUGAAUCUGUGAUCACAUGAUUCCUAGGCUCACAUUAUGCCACAGUUUAUACGAAAGCAGUAAGCAGUUUUAUAUAUAACAGCUGUAAAUAUAUAUAUAUACAAACAUGAUCAACCACCACAAAGCACCUCCAUCGGGGAUCGGAAAUGUAAAUAUAUAAAAGCGAAAAAUAUAUAUAUAGAGACAUGAUCAACCACCAUAACACACCUCCAUUGGGGAUCAAAAAUGUAAAUAAAGCAGUAAAAACACGAUCAACCACCAUGAAGCACCUCCAUGGGGGAUCGAAAAUGUAAAGAAAGCUGUAAAAAUGAUCAACGGCCACGACGUAAACUCCAGGCAGGACUAAAUGUAAAGAAAACAGAAAAAAAGAUCAACCGCCACGACGUAAACUCCGGGCGGGACUGAAUGUUAAGAUAUAUAUAUAUAUAUAUAUAUGUGUGUGUGUGUGUGUGUGUGUGUGUGUGAUGCCCCCAAAAUAGGUAUACAUCACCCAUCUUGAGUCGCCAAAUACAUGGUACAAAAUUCAAAUACAACUUAAUUAUACAACAGUCGUGUGAAAUACGACAAAAUAUAAUCUAAGAGUUUUAAUAAGAAUAUUGUCAUCUAGAUAAUAUCCACACUCAAUGGAGUCCUCAUUACAUUUACUGUCACACUAUUUAACAGAAUAGUGAGGACUACUAAUGCUAUCAUCUGGACCAUCACUCCGUUCCCCGACUAGUCCCGACUACGUUCUCAUUUCCUGAAGAGAACAGUGAAAGAAAGGGUGAGCUCGACUAGCCCAGUAAGAAAUAUUAUGACUAAGAUAAUGCAGAAUAAAUUAUCAUUAGUCUUCAACAAUGUUAAACUGAUAAAAUACAAUAGACAUCAAGUUUAACUGCAGCGGAAUAAGCAAUCCAUUAGAAGAGUCAAGUAGAGCAUGAUAUCUACUAUCUUCUAUGAUUUAAAAUGUUUUCAUUAAUUUUUAUCGCUGAGACUCAGCUUAAUAAAUAAACCACAUCAUCGAGUCAUCCCUACACUAUGGGCCAAGGAUAUUCAUUAAAUCAUCAAUGGUCAUGACUAUACCGAAUAAUCCCUGGUCAUAAUCAUACCAAAAAUACUACAGGCUAUUGAGGACUUUUGCCACAUCAUUUAUAACAGUAUAGGUCAUGAUUAUACCGAAUAAUCCUUGGUCAUAAUCAUACCAAGUCCAUCUAUGCACGUAAGCCAAAGAUGACUUUCAUCACAAUAUAAGCAUGAGGAUGAUGACAAUGACAUAAUAAUUCAAUAAAACAAGUUCAUUAAUAAAUUUUAAAGAUUUAUAAGUUAAAUUUAUCUUGAAAUCAAUUACGUCCAAAUUGUCAACAUGAUACUACUUUGUGAGUAAAAUUCAAGAAUGCUCAGAAGAAUAUUUCCAUAAAAAGAUACCAGAUGAAGCGCAAAUAUCUAGGAUAUUCUACUAAUUUCAUGGAGUAUAGAAGCCAAAACGUUAACCAAAUGAGUAUCAUAGAAUAUAUGAAACUGCAAAUGGAUUUUCACCCGCCAUGCGGUAAUCCACGUAGACAGAUCAUUUCCACAAUUUAAUAAGGAAUGAAUAAGAAGGAUCAUUCACCAUGCAUGCGAUAAUCCACAUAGACAUGUUAUUCCAACAGAAUAAUAAAGAAUGGAAACAGGUCAUGCAUAAUUCGCACAGACAGGAUAUUCCAACCAAAUAAUAAGGAAUGGAAUAACAGAAGAAUUCACCAUGCAUGCGAUAGACCGCACAGACAGAUUAUUCUAACAGAAUAAUAAAGAAUGGAACCAGGUCUAGCGUAAUCCGCACAGACAGGAUAUUCCAACAGAAUAAUAAAGAAUAGAACCAGGUCUAGCGUAAUCCGCACAGACAGGAUAUUCCAACAGAAUAAUAAAGAAUGGAACCAGGUCUAGCGUAAUCCGCACAGACAGGAAUAAUAGCCCUUACCUUAGAAAGAAACUGGAUACUGGAGUAGAGAGGUAGCAUACUUCUCUUCUUCUUUCUCUCUAUAAUUUCUUUCUAUAAUAAUUUCUCUAUAGCUUUAGUGAAUUGGUGAGAAAUGAAGGAAGAAUGAGCUUCUAUUUAUAGGAAAAUAUAGUUUUGAUAAUUGCACGUUUUGGGGCUCGAAAUAUUACAGUACAAUACCUUCAACUUUUCUUUCAUUUUUAAUUUAGUCCUGCAAGUAUUAUCAAACUUGCACCACCUCCCCUAAUAAUAAAUUAUGUGAAUUAAUAGUUCAAUCAUGUGAAUCAAUUGUUAUAAACAUGUGAAAAUACAAAUUAUAGUAUAGUACCUCCAUCUAUACCUGUAUUUUUAACUUAGUCAUGCAAGUAUUAUCAAUCUUGCACCAACUCCCCUAAUAGUACAAGAAUGUGAAUCAAUAGUACCCACAUGUGAAUAAAUAGUUAUAAUCAUGUGAAUUAAUAGCAAUUAAUUGCUCAUUUAUCCGGUUAAUUACCCGACUGGUUAGUAUAACUUCCAGACAUCAAUUAAUAUCGAAAUAAAUGUCGAUAUCCACUAACACUAAUAAUUCCAACACAAUGGAACUAUCAAUUUCAUCUUUAAUCAACACGAACUUAUUCAUCAUUAAUAUUAUAACUCACAAUAUUUAACAACCAGGUCGUUCCCAGGAAAGAUGGGGCUUUCCGAUAAGGAUUUCUCCUUAUUAGAGCGCAAUUAGAUGACCAGACCUCUCAUUGACAGAACUUCUAGAUAUUGUAAAUAUUGCAAUUUAAUAAUAUAAAUAACUUUGUCGUCUCAAUUAUUGAUUUAAUAAUAUAACAUAUUAUACAGAUGAUACUGUGACAAUAAUUGAAUCAAUAAUAUGAGAGAUAUGAUGCAGCAAUUACUGUAGCAAUAAUUGACUAUAACUGAGUGAUUUCUCACAUAAGCAUCAAUAAUCAAUACCGUGUGCUACUAUGCAACCACGCGUAUUAAUGUACUUUUACUACCGGGUAGUUCAACAGUUUUAAUGGUAACACUUCUGCUGUUAUUUUUAUAAAAAGAUAAUUCUGUCGUUUUCUUAUUACGACAAUACUUCCGUUGUGGGGUCCACCAAUAAUUGUGCCGUCGUAUGAAAAUUCCCUGUUAAAAUGAAUAUUUCCCGACCAAUCGAAUAUUAUAUAACCACUUGCUUACUUUGCAAAAUUUGUAAAUAUUACCCACAACUAUAACAUUAUAUUAUAUCCACACCAUAAUAUUCAAAAAUAUAUUUCGAGAGAAAUUAAUCUUUAUUCAUAAAAGUUGGNNNNNNNNNNNNNNNNNNNNNNNNNNNNNNNNNNNNNNNNNNNNNNNNNNNNNNNNNNNNNNNNNNNNNNNNNNNNNNNNNNNNNNNNNNNNNNNNNNNNNNNNNNNNNNNNNNNNNNNNNNNNNNNNNNNNNNNNNNNNNNNNNNNNNNNNNNNNNNNNNNNNNNNNNNNNNNNNNNNNNNNNNNNNNNNNNNNNNNNNNNNNNNNNNNNNNNNNNNNNNNNNNNNNNNNNNNNNNNNNNNNNNNNNNNNNNNNNNNNNNNNNNNNNNNNNNNNNNNNNNNNNNNNNNNNNNNNNNNNNNNNNNNNNNNNNNNNNNNNNNNNNNNNNNNNNNNNNNNNNNNNNNNNNNNNNNNNNNNNNNNNNNNNNNNNNNNNNNNNNNNNNNNNNNNNNNNNNNNNNNNNNNNNNNNNNNNNNNNNNNNNNNNNNNNNNNNNNNNNNNNNNNNNNNNNNNNNNNNNNNNNNNNNNNNNNNNNNNNAUAUAUAUAUAUAUAUAUAUAUAUAUAUAUAUAUAUAUAUAUAUAUAUAUACAAACAGAAAUAAAACCACGGACCAAAGUCCGGGCCUAGACAUGCAACACAACUCUCAACGUGAAGAAUAGUGUGUGUAGAGAUGAAGAAAAAGGCUUUAAAGUGUGUAAGAAGGCUUAUAGUGGACUGCCAAAGAAGAAUUUUAUAGCUUUAAAUAGAUGAAUACUCGGCUCUCAUCGGUAAAAAUAUGACUGACUAUAAGCUCACAAGUGUUUAAAAUGGGAAAGCACUCAGUUUAGGGUGUGUACAGAGCAAAUUGGACAGGGCUUCCUCGCCAUUUUCUCUUACAAAAUUGCCACCCAAAGCCCUCUAUUUAUAGAGGGGGGAGCCGCAGGUACACUUGCGGCAGCCGCAGAUGCACCUGCGGCUGCCCGGGGUGCCCCGGGCUCCACGGGUCCCGCCGUCUCGAAGUUUGUGCACGCAUGCAACGUGAUGUCUGCUCGAGCUUUUGGAACUUCAAUCCGGGCAUCUGAUUGAGGUGUAUAAGACCUGUUUCAGACUUCCGUUGUCGAGAGCUAUGCAUUGACAUGGGAUUAGAGGUUGUACAAAGUCAAGAAGAUGGAACCAUGUCCUUAGUCUUCAAGCUUCAAAUUCUAUCUGGUGUGCUGCCUUGUGUAGUAGUCACUCGGGAUUGGAACUCCUUGAUUCUUGUGGGACAUUGCUGUGUAGAAUGUAUGUUGAAAUAUGUUGUUGAGACGGCGCAAUGUGGGGUUGAGGUGGAAAAAUAAUGAUUUUACCCCUCACCGGGGUUAUCUCCGGUUUGGGAUGAUAAAGAAGACGUUACUCAGGGUUAUCUCUGAGAUUGGGCUGCUGCAAGUGCUAAAUGUCCUCAGGGUUAUCUCUGAGGUGUGCAUGUCCUUCCGGGGUUAUCUCUGGGACUGUAUCUGAGUGCCUCGGUGUUAUCUCCGAGGUUGAAGCUGACUGCAUGAGUUAAGACGAGCAUCUCCAGGGUUAUCUCCGGAACUGCAACUGCACUCCUCGGGGUUAUCUUCGAGGUUGACAUUAUCUUUCCUGGUGUUAUUCUUGGGACUGAGACUGAAUAUCUCGGGGUUAUCUCUGAGAUGAAUUGGCCUUCUCCGGUGGAAUUUCUGGUAUUUGCACUGCAUUCCUCGGGGUUGUCUUCGAGGUUGGAACUGAUACUCCCGGUGUGUUUUUCGGGGUUUGAAACUGAACUUCCAGUGGUAUUUCUGGGAUUGAGCUAAGCUAUCUUCCAGGGUUAUCUGUGAAAGACGAUUCUGCCCUUCCUACAAUGUUAGUAACAGGUAUGCAGAAAAUUUUGAGUGUCUACAGUAUUUAUACAGGACAUGUAUUGAAAGAGGGAAAGAAUGUUGAGACUUCCUUUCAUUUGGUUUAUCAGAGGCUAACCUAUCUUAGGUUACUCUCACGGGCUUUUUGGCAUGGAGGUUCCCAUAUCAUCGGAAUCUACUAGAUGGGAAGUUAAUUCGAUCUUUCAAAUGGAGCGGAUCUGAGUGGUACCUUUCCUGAGCCUCACUUGAACUUAAUCGCCAUUGGAGUCCAGUAAUCAGUAACCGACGGGUUUGCCUCCUGGCGGAGGAAUCACACAACAUACAUUCAUCAUGUCUCACCGCAUGCAAAAUGAUGACAUUGUGCGAAGCACUACUAUAAAGCGUGGAAAAGAGACAUUCAUAUCCAUUCAAUAUAAAGACGUCAUUUCACACACAUGCUCAAAGAAGGGAAUAAAAAAGAUUGAAAUACAGCUUUAGCCCUUUACUAUCCCCAGCAGAGUCACCACCUAUCGACGCCGAAAAGAUUUCAUCUCCCUUUUCCUAUAUGUUUCUUACCCUUUAUGUUUUCUCUAUGUGAGUUUGUUUGGUCUGAAUGGUGAGAUUUUUAGGAAAAAGGCCGACAUAUAAUGUCGACGAUUUGAAUUUUUUUGAUUAUUAUAGGUCUGAAUUAGACAGAUUCACCAGUUGGUAUGAGAUAAAUACUCAAUCGAGUUUUGAAAGAUUUUACAAUAUGGCCCAAUAUUGGACUCUGUUUAAUUGGUCUUGGAAACCGAGAUUUCAUAGAGUCCGGGGGCUUGAUUAAGUGGGGGGGAGGUGCUAGGCACCCCCCNNNNNNNNNNNNNNNNNNNNNNNNNNNNNNNNNNNNNNNNNNNNNNNNNNNNNNNNNNNNNNNNNNNNNNNNNNNNNNNNNNNNNNNNNNNNNNNNNNNNGAAGGUGUUAGGCACCCCCAACUUCUGUGAAACACGGUUAUCGCACUUUUUGUUCCCUAAUUUGUAUGUAUGUGUGUAUGUGUGUAUGUGUGCAUUGCAAUUAAUUGAGCCUAAGUGCUUUAUUUGGAAGUAGUGUUAUGCCUCUUUUGCACCUAUAUACAAAGGGUUUGAAUUGUAUAAAAGUUUAAUUUUAAUACAAGGCAUAUAAAAUGAUAUUUUGAAAAUAGAUUUUCAAACCUUUAUGCUCACAUAGUAAUUGAGGCCUUUGAUACUUCCAUUUUAUUCUGUAUUCGGCUUAUUUUGAUUUUAUUCUCGAGAUACGAAGCAUCUUCAACAAAAUAAUAUAUAUAAGUGUUGGGCUCCUUAUGGGCAUGAAAGCCAUCAAACGACUUUAAGCGCCUUUAUGAACAACUUCCACCGGUUAAAACUUGAUAUGUUGUAGUAUAUAUGUAUAUAAAAAGAAGUUUUACAAAAAUCAGAGCACGAUUCGAGCUCCAUUUAGCUAUUCUAACCUCUAUUUCUCUCGCACGAGCCCUCUUCUUUCUUAACCUUUGCUUGGAAGCCAAGGGGUUGAGGGUGUAUAUAUAGACCCAAGUUUCCACGGGUCUACCUUUUCUCGUGGUACGUGCACUCUGACCAAUGCGCUGUCUACUUGAACCUUCAUAACUUUUAAUCCGAGAAUUUGAUGGAGGUGUGCUAUAACUUACCGAAAAGCCCUUUCGAGAGCUACAAAAUGACAUGGGAUUUGACAUUUUCUGAAUCCGGGAAGACGGGUCCAUGACCAGAUCAUCAAGUCUUCACAAUCAGUCCGUUGAGCUGUCUUGUGUUGUUUUUACUCGGGAUUGUUGUUAUGGUUAUGCAUGACCUUCUUCAUGGUAAUUUGAUUAGUUUUGAUGUUAAUUUGGAAAAAUUACUCUUUUGCCCUUUCAAGUUGAUUUCUGGGCUUGAUAUGUUACAGCUGUCUUUCCUCAGGGUUAUCUCCAAGGUUUGACUGCUAUCAACUCUUGUCUAUCUUCAGGGUUGUCUCUGAAGUUGAUUUGAUGAUUUCUCGGUGUUGUCUCUGGGUUUUGGUUUUAUGAUUUCCCAGGGUUGUCUUCGGGGGUCUGGUUUGAUAAUUUCUCGGGGCUGUCUCUAGGGGCCUGGUUUGAUGAUUUCCCAAUGUUGUCUCCGGAGAUCUGGUUUGAUGAUUUCAACUUCCAAGGUUGUCUCUGGAAGACGAAAGAUGAUUCUGCCCUCCUGUAUAGUUAGUAAUAGGAAUGUAAAAUUUCAAGUGUCUACAGUUAUCAAACAAUUUUUUAGAUUCAAAUGUUAUUUCAUUCAGAUGAUCUAAUUUAUUAAGAUGUAUUUGUUGGAAGUUGCAUAUUUAAAUUUGAUGUUUGAAUAAAUAAAUGUGCAUGCAUUAUCAAAAGAUGUAAAGUUCUUAUUAGAUCAUAUGUACAAGGACUUAGAUUAAAGAUCAAAGUUGUUAAGUUGAUCUAAGCUUAAUGUUUAUCUUUUUAUAAAAUCUUUUGUAGUAGAAAGAUCAAACUUGUUAGGUUGAUCUUAUGAGUUAUAAUAGAUAGGACCAGGACAAAAUCGAAGUCUGGUAAGCAAGCAAGAUAUUUCAGAAGACAACGUAGAAUCGUAAUCUGCCGAGCAAGCCUCUCGGGAUCAUAGAAGUAGUUUAACGAGUACUUGUCGAGCUAAGUCAAAAAUCGUAGGUGCAGCUCAAAAUCGUGGAAUCUUUAAUGCGUCACUGAUUAAAAUCAUAGUCAGUCAAGCGUUGUCAAUGCUAAGACAUCAGAGGCCGUUCAGAGUAAAUAGCCUACAAACACUUAUCAAUAGACCAUGAUCGUAGUGUCUAUCAGUCAGCAUCAGAAUCGUCGAAGUUCAAUUGUCUGAUGAACAAAAAUGUCUGACAGUAAUGACUUAUAUUUGAACGUCGAUUUUUGAGAAUCCCAAUGCUCUCACAAACAUCCCUGACCUAAAUCGAAGAGCCAGAAGGAAAAAGAAAGGUGACAUUCAACUGGUCUAAUGAAAGUGACUUUUCAGAUAUAGUAGGUGAGAAAACAGCCUGCUGUGUUAGGCAAGUCAGAAAAGAGUGUUCACAUAAUCCUAAGAUGUCAACAUCAAGAUCCCAGAAUAUCUAAAGCAUUAAAUGCUCCAACGGAAGCUUCUCAACGGGAAGAUUUUAAAGGCUCCUACAUAAGGCAAACAAAUUGAAGAUUAUAGACAAGCAAGAACACACAAAUCAUUAGAACAUCUAUCAAAUUCUCACUCUAUGAAUUUGAAGAGAAGUCUUGCUCAACUACUAAGUUCUUUAGAACUUAUGCUUAAGGAAACUUAGUAGCACAACAUCAAAAAAACUUUCAUAAUAGAACUGCCAAGUCUGAUGGACUUGAAGAGUAUUCAGGGUAAUAUUGAUCCAAGUCUGUUGGGCUUAAAGAGUUCUUAGUGAACUACUGUUCCUAGACUGCUGGUCUUAAAGGAAUCUCAGUGAUUCGAAGAUUUUAUCAAUAUUCUUAGUGGAUUUCCUACUCGUGCAGUAGAAGAGUGGACUAGGAGUCUUGAGUGCUCUGAAUAACUAAAAACACUGUGUCAUUUACUUUCAGUCUCUUUAACUACUAUAUCUGUUAUAACUGUUAUUUAAAUUAUAACUUUUGUUUUAUCUUAAAGGGGAAAAUUAAUUCAUACAUUCCACUGUGGUUAAUUAAUUAUUUAAUUAACAAAUCUGUUAAGUUACUCUUUGAAAAGAAAAUUAUUUUAAAUAUAUAUUCAACCCCCCUCCCCUUCUAGAUAACUUUCGUGCCUCUAGAAACUAACAAUUAGUAUCAGAGCAUGUUCUCUCAACUAAAGCAUACAAAGCUUGAGUAGAUCAAUGGCACACAUCAUAAGCGAAUUUAAGCUUGAUGGAGGCAACAAACCACCAAUGUGCAACAAAGAUAAAUUUGCCAACUAGAAAGUUCGAAUACAAGCUUACAUGGAUUUAAUAGACGAUAAUUUAUUUGAAACAGUACUGAAUGGGCCCCACAUUCCUAUAAAGCUUGGACCAACUCCUGACGAUCCAAACUGAAGAUAAAUUACGAUAAAGUCAGAAUGGAUUGACAAUGAGAGGAAAGCAGUCCAACUAGACAAAAGGCCAAAAACAUUCUUUUCCAGUCAUUAGAAGAUAACCUAUUUAAAAAUGUGGUCAACUGCAAAACAGCAAAGGAAGUCUGGGAAGCAUUACUCAUCAUACAUGAACGAACUAAAGAAGUAAGAGAGAAUAAGCAAUCUUUACUCACUCAAUAGUACGAGAUGUUCACUCAUAUACCAGGAGAAAACAUUACUUCAAUUUAUGAAAGAUUUAAUGUAUUGCUCAACUCUCUCUGAGCUUUUGGAAAGAUCUAUCCCUACAAAGAUCUCAUCAUCAAAUUCAUGAGGGCCUUACCAAGCAAGUGGGAUGCAAAGACAACAACCAUCAGAGAAUCAAAGAAUCUUAAUGAGAUGAUUGUGCAACAACUAUACGGGAAUCUUCUCACCUAUGAACUGCAGCUAACUCAACAUGCAGAAGCUCUAUCAGAAGGAAAGAAAAAGGGAAAAGGAGUGGAUCUCAAAGAAAAAGAAGCCACCUCUAAGGCUCGAGUCAAUGAUGGGUCUGACAUUGAAAAAGACGAUGAUGAAGAUGUUUCUAUGCUGAUCAGAAAGCUUAAAAGAUUCAUGCGUAAAGGCAGAAGCAACAGACCAAAGAUAUUUAACAGUAGAAACAACUAGGAGAAGACUAAAGACUUGUGCUACAACUGUUAGAAGCCAGGUCACUACAUUGUUGACUGCAACAAACCUCCUAGAGAAGAACUAAAGAAGAAGUCAAACUCGAGGAAAGAAUUCAAUGGUUAUAAUAAGCCUCAGAAGAAAGACAAAGGCCUGGUAGCUGAAGGAUCAUAGAGUGACUCAGAAAAUGAUACAAACUCUAAGUCAGACGAAGAUAACAAACCUCAAGUGGUCAACCUAUGUUUAAUGGCCAAGGAAUCCAAAGACAAGAAAAAUAGUGAAAUCAGUAUUGAUGAGGUAUUUGUUUUCAACUCUCCUGAUGUGAAUAUUGAUGAUUUAAGAACUGAAUUACAUGAUAUAACCUUUGAUCUACAUCAAUACAUGAAAUGGUUUAGAGCCUUAUCGAAAGACUAUUCUCUUUUUCAACAAGAGAAAGAAAAAGUUCAAGUGGAACUGGAGACAGUUCUGCUAAGCACUUCCUUUCUCUCUAAUCUUAAAACUGAGAAUAAGAAUUUAAAACAGACAAAUGAGCUAAGUGAACAAAAUGAGUUGAACCUAGCUUAUAAAAUUCAUGAGUUAGAAAAGACGAUCCAAAUAUGGAACAAGUCUUCUUCAUCUAUGAACUCUCUGAUCUCUAGUCAGAGGAAUUCUUCUGACCGAUCAGGUGUCGGUUUUGAGGACUCUCCCUCAAAAUUAAAUGUGGAAAAGUCUUUGGAAACUAACACUAGUAGUGCUUCUAAUCUAAAUAGAAGUAUUACUUUUGUGAAAUCCACAUAAAGUGCAGAGCCAAUAAAUUCUUGCACUUCUAAUCCAAGUAAUGUCCUUAGACAUAACAGAUCUCAUGCUGGUCUAGGAUUCAGAAAAAUCAAGAGUAAAUCAACUGCUACUCUCCAACCUCGAAGGAUCGUGGGGUCAAAUAAAACCGGCUCCACGAACCAACCAGGAAGGAAUUGUAGACUUGAGAUGUACUCUACAAAAUCUCUGAAUCAUAGAACAAUAUGUAAAAAGAAGAAUCAGCAUAAGGAUAAGGCUACCUAUCACCCACAUAUGUCCAAGAUAAGAAAGAAUCCACACACACACACAAGCAUGCAUCACACUAAAUGUUUUAUAUGUAAUAGAUAUGGUCAUAAGUAUGCAGCAUACUAUUAUAAUCCUGUAAAUCAUAGACCUAAAAUCAAGCAGAUUUGGGUCCUCAAGGGAACUAACAGGGAAGGACCCAAACAAGUCUGGGUACCAAAAUGAAAGCUAAAUUUUACUAUAGGUACAAAGCUCCACUAUGACAACCUGAUACCUUGAUAGUGGAUGCUCAAGGCAUAUGACUAGAAACAAAGCUCCUCUUUCUAACUUCAAAGAAAAGGACGGUCCAACAGUCAUUUUUGGUGACAACAGCUCUGGCAAAACCAAAUGAUAUGGCUCAGUUGGAAAUGGUGUUGUGUCUUUCAGUAAAGUAGCUUAUGUUGAAGGUCUGAAGCACAAUCUCUUGAGCAUCAGCCAACUUUGUGACAAAGGAAAUCAAGUCACCUUCCUUAACAAUCAAUGUCAAGUUAGAGUUUUGAAGACCUUUUCUCUAAAGCUCAUUGGAAUCAGAGAAGGAAAUGUCUAUGUUAUCAACCUUGCUAAGUUAAAUCCUGUUGAGACAAUAUGUUUCUUUGCCAAAGACUUCAAAGAAAUCAGUUGGUUAUGGCAUAGAAGACUGUCUCAUCUAAACUUUAAAGGCAUGUCAAAACUGGCCUCCAAAGACCUUGUAGUAGGAUUACCGAAAUUCAACUUCAUCAAAGACAAACCUUGCAAAGCUUGUCAGCUAGGAAAUCAAACAAGGAGUUCAUUCAAAGGCAAAACAGUCAACUCUAUUAAUAAGCCCUUGGAGUUACUUAACAUGGACCUCUUCGGGCCUAUCCCUACUGUAAGUCUUGGAGGGAUGAGAUACUCACUGGUGGUAGCAGACGACUACACCAUAUAAACAUGGGUAUUCUUUCUGAGUUCUAAAGAAGAAACUUACUCUCAACUUAUUAAGCCAUUUAUGAAUGAGAAAGGAGAAAAGAUUAAGGCCAUUAGAAGUGAUCAUGGAAGAGAAUUUGACUUCUCAGAGAUGGACAAGUUCUGUGAAGAUAAUGGCAUCAACCACAACCUCUCAUAUCCAAGAACUCCACAGCAAAAUGGGGUAGCUGAGAGAAAGAACAGAACCUUGAUUGAGGCAGGAAGAACACUACUGGCAGCAGCUCUCCUACUUAAAUACUUCUGGGCAAAAGCUAUCAACACGAUUUGCUACACCCAAAACAGAUCUCUUAUUCAUCCUACGCUCAAAAAGACUCCUUAUGAGCUAUGGAAAGGAAGUAAGCCAAAUGUCAGGUUCCAUGUUUUUGGUUGUACUUGCUACAUUCUCAAUAAUGGAAAAUAAUAUCUGACUAAGUUCCAACCAAAGUCGGAUGAGGAUAUCUUUCUUGGGUAUGCCACAAAUAGCAAAGCCUACAGGGUGUUCAACAAGAAAACUCUUAGUGUUGAAGUCUCUAUUCAUGUCAUCUUUGAUGAAACAGACUCAUCAGGCAAGUUUGUACCACUCAACUCCAUGACCAACGAACCAGACACCAAGAUCGAAGUGGUUGAGCAAGUUACCACGAUCGUAGACUAAGAAGAAGGAAUCAUGGAGCAUGGAGAAGCAAUCAUAGAAGAUAUUGCUCUAGAAAAUGAGCAUCCACAACAAGAAGUUGAAGUCAAUCUUGAAGAAUUAAGAUAAGAAAGCACAAGAACUGACGUUCCAACAGGAAGUAGAUGGGCGAGAGAUCACACACAAGACUUGAUUAUUGGAGAUCCAAAUGCAAGAAUCAAGACUAGGCCGGCUACUCAAAAUGAGUGUUUCUAUCUGAACUUUCCGUCCCAAAUGGAACCUAAGAAGAUAGAGGAAGUCUUGGAAGAUUCAAGCCGGAUUGAAGCUAUGCAGGAGGAACUAAAUCAAUUUGAAAGAAGAAAAGUGUGGAGACUAGUUCUAAGACCAAAUCACUAACCAGUCAUCGACACCAAAUGGGUAUUCAGAAACAAGAUGGAUGAAGAUGGGGUGAUCACAAAGAACAAGAUAAGACUUGUCGCAAAAGGUUAUUCUCAAGAAGAAGACAUCGACUACGACGAGACCUUUGCUCCUAUUGCCAGACUAGAAGCAAUCAGAAUAUUUAUUGCCUAUGUUGCACAUAUGAAGUUCAAAGUCUUUCAAAUGGAUGUCAAAAGUUCAUUUCUGAAUGGAGAACUUCAAGAAGAAGUCUAUGUGGAACAACCCCCAGGUUUUAUCAAUCCAACCUUCUCUAAUUAUUUUUAUAGAUUAGAUAAAGCACUAUAUAAAUAAGCACCUAGACGAUGGUAUGAAACACUAACAAACUUUUUUAUCGAAAAGGGAUUCUCUAGAGGAAGAGUAGACACCACACUAUUUCUAGAAAGCACAAAGAUAAAGAUCUAUUAGUACAAAUAUAUGUAGAUGGAAUUAUUUUUGGUUAUACUGAUAAAAAGCUAUGUGAGAGAUUUUCCAAGCUUAUGCAGAGUAAAUUUGAAAUGAGCAUGAUGGGUGAACUGAAUUUCUUCCUUGGACUUCAAGUGAAGCAAACUAAUAAAGGUAUCUUUAUUAAUCAAGCCAAGUAUAUCAAAGACUUACUUAAGAAGUAUGGCAUGGAAUUAGCUUCCCCCAUGAGAACUCCAAUUGCAUCAUCCACUAAGCUUGGCAAAAAUGAGAAAGGUAAAUGUAUUGAUAUUACUUAAUACAGAGGUAUGAUAGGUUUUCUUCUUUACUUAACUGCUAGUAGACUAGACAUCAUGUUUGCUACAUGUAUAUAUGCUAGAUUUCAAGCUAACCCUAAGGAAUCACACUUAAUUGUUGUGAAAAGGAUUUUCAGGUAUCUCAAAGGCACACCUCAUUUCGGGCUUUGGUAUCCCAAGGAGUCUUCGUUUGAAUUAACAGGAUACUCAGAUGCUGAUUUUGUAGGUUGUAAAAUUGAUAGAAAGAGUACAAGUGACACUUGUCAAUUGCUAGGAAAAAGGCUCGUAUCCUAGUUUAGCAAGAAGUAAAACUCUAUAUCAACCUCAAUAGCAGAAGUUGAAUAUAUAGCAGCUGGUAGCUGUUGUGCCCAAUCCUAUGGAUAAAAAAUCAGCUAGCUAACUAUGUUUUUAAUUUCAAAUCUAUUCAUGUUCACUGUGAUAAUACAAGUGCUAUAACUAUAACUCAUAAUCCUGUCAUGCAUUCUAGGACAAAGCAUAUUGAGAUAAGAUAUCAUUUCAUUAGAGAUCAUAUUUAAAAUGGAAAUAUUUCUCUUCAUUAUAUCCCAAUUGAAAAUCAACUUGUUGAUGUGUUUACAAAACUUUUAGAUGAAUCCAGAUUUAAUAAGUUAAUAAGUGAAUUAGGAAUGCUUAAUUUACAACCAUAUUACUAUUUUCUUGAAGCUACUAAUUUUGUAGAUAGAAAGUCAUUAACUGAUUGUGAAGUAAUACUGCGGACUUCAGAAGGAAACUCAAUCUCAUGAGGAGCUAAGGAAACAAUAGCCUUUUCAUUCUGACUAAAAGUUCGUGGCCCCACUCAGCAAAAAUUUAAAAAGGGAAGUUUCAAACAAACUUUAAAUCACCAUUUCUUUAUUUCAAACUCUCAUCUGAAUUUUAAACUCUCUCUCUCUCCCUCGCUCGCUAAAACCCUAGAUUUGAUUUACAGAACACUCAGUUAAUCUUGAUUGUUUCAGGAAAAUCAAAGAAAUCAAUGGCAUCUUCAACCAUGAUUCCUGGACACCAGCUAUGCUUCGAAGAAUUCAAAGAAGCCGAACCAAAAUUCCAUAAGAUCCUCUUAUUGCUAAAGAAAGCAGGACUUCAGGAAGCUCUGGGGACCAACAUGAGAAUUUACCCCAAAUUGGUGAGGGAGUUCUACACCAAUGGAGUCUACAAAGACGACGUCCUUGCUUCAAAGGUUAAAGACAUGACAAUUCGAUUGGAAGUUGCUUACAUAAAUCAGGCCUUAGGUUUUAAAUUUAAGGGCCUUACUUCUUUAAGCUUCAUCGAAUUCAAAGAGGGACUAAAGAGGAUACAUCACGAAAAGAACCAAAAUCUGAAGGGGUAGAAGAAGAAGGAGUUUCCCCAAAAGUACUAGUUCAUGGCUGAAAUUGUUGGGAAAUGUAUCUGUUGUAAGAAUUAUGGUCACGAUUCUGUCAACGAGGUGCAACUAAAGCUCAUGACAGCAAUCUGCUUUAAGUCUUAGAUAAACUAUGGAGCUCUUCUUCUGGAGUGGAUUGGGAAGUGGAUUCUUAGCUUUAAGAAAGCAAAGAGCACGAUCAAAAUGUUUUAUGGAAGAUUUAUCAGCAUUAUUCUCCAAGCAGCUCUGGGAGACAAUAUUCGUGAAGGUGAACCUCUAAAUGCCAACAAGAGAAUGACCCAAUAACUCUUUGUAAACUGGAAAAGGAAUCCAGUUGAGAAUGUGAAGAAUUAUCAAUCUGAGUCUAGUGAAAGGUUAUGAAACCUUUUCUACAGGGAAACAUAUCUAUUGUGAGGGAAGUUAAAGAAGAAGUAGACCAGGAUCCCACUGCUCUGGUCAGGAGAAACAAGGGAAAGAAGAAGCUGAAGACCGUUGUUUAGAUGGCAGAAGAGCCUAAACGAUCAACAACUGAAGUACCUCAAGGAUCUGAUCCUGAACUCUCUGGCCAAUCUCUUACAAAGGAAAUUUCUUAAGAUGAAGAUUGGCUCAAGAAGAAGAAGAAGAAGAAGAAGCAAACUGAAGAAGAAGUUGAAGAAAAGAUGACUCUGUCUCAAAAUUUUUCAAAGAAAGGAAAACGCAGUCUGCGUUUGAAGAAGUCCUCCCUGAUCGUGAUCAUGGAGAAUACAAGCACGCCGAUCGUGGAGUCAAGAAUUGUUAACCAAUCAGAAGAAAAUAUUGGGACAACGACUCAGCCUGAACAGAUAAAUGUUGCUACAAAUGAACAACUUGAUGAAGAGACAGCUGAAACUGAGCCUAGAAGAGUGAAGAGAAAGCUAAUCAAAAAGGUUGAUCUUGAGCUUAAGGAAGCAAUGCUAUAGAUUAAUGAAGAAGAAAUGAGAAUGAUGGAACAGACAAAGAGGACUGUGUCUCCAAACUAUAGUUCUUACAAUGAGUCCUUAGAACAAACCAGGAUCAUUGAAACAGUAAUUGCCACCAUCAACAAUGCAGUCAGUCCGACUGCAUCAGACCAAGUUUUUGUUCCUACUGAAGAGGAACAAAAAGAGGAUAAUGAGCAGAGUCAUGCUCAUAUUGAGGGGGACACCUUCGAAUUUCCUGAGUCAGAAAAUGCUUCAGCUGAGGGGGAGCAAUCAGAAGCUCAUCAUGAAGCCCCCUCUAUCCCUCAAGAAAUGGUGGAGAUUCUUGAUAAAGAAGAUGAAAGAGAAGAAGAGGAAGAAGUAGAAAUCAUUAUUGAAUUAAAGAGUGAAGAAAGGAGCAUCAACUACAAUUGAAUGUUCUCCUACCUGCCCAUAAUGCCCUUCCACAGAGCCCUACUUCUCAAUUCUUGGGAUCAUAUAUUUUGGACAUUCAAAGCUUAUCCAUCAGUAUCUGUGCUCGCCCAAGAAUACCCAAAGAACCUCAACUUCGCUAAAAAGUUAAAUGCCAAUCAUGCCUCUUCUAUCCAUGAACAAAAGUGUUAGGAAUAUGCAUGUGAAUGUUAUUCUUUUAUUCAUAUAAUUUGAUGAUGAAGGUGAUGAAGUUAAUGAAUGAAUACAUAAAUAUGUCUACAUUGAUAAAAGUUGUAAAGUCCUUAAUAGAUGAUAGAUAAUAUGGACAAGGGCUUAUAUUGAAAUGAUUAAAUAUGUUAGAUUGAUCUAAUAUGAAUAAAUAGUUAUGUAAAAGUCCUUUAAAAGAUCAUGAUGUACAAGGACUAUGAAUAGAAUGAUCAAACUUGUUAGGUUGAUCUUAUAAAGUGUAAUAAUGUCUGACUGAAGAGAAAUGCACCAGUCACUAUAAUCUGCCAAGAAAGUAAAGCAGAAUCGUAGACUACACUCGAAAUCGUAGAAGCUGUCUGUCGAUCGCCUGUAGAGCUAAAACAAGAAUCGUAGACUUCACUCUAAAUCGUGAAGUCUACAAGUCGUCACCAAUUAGAAUCGUAGUUUGCAGAACCAGAGCCAAAGUCGUAGUCAGCCAAUUGCUUACUUAGCUAUAAUUAUAGAGCACUCUACGAUUCUCAACAGGAGCAACCCUGAAGUGUAUGUAUAGAUCUUAUUCUCUGGCAAGAGCAGUCAAGUUUCAGAUUAAAGUCUACUUAAAGAAUAUCAGAAAGCAUUCUCUGAAUGACCUGCAAGCAAAUAGAAGAUCAAAGCACCAACUCUAUCAGCAGGGCUAAUUGAGAAGUGAAAAUCUAUUCAGAAAGAGUUUCAUCAGAAGACAACAAUCAUAAUGCUUACCAAAAAGUAAAAGAGCAUGAUAAAGAAACUACAAAGAUAAUGGUAAACCGGCCACAGUGUAAGCAAAGAAAAAACAAGGAGGACGUCAAUGCUCAGCUUCACCAUGGAGUAUGAUCAAGAGAUCACAAGUCUGAAGGUUAAGGAAGCUGAGCAUGACUAAUCAAAAGGGAUAUGCAAACCAAAGUGUCAAAGCAGUCAAUCAAUUUGUUAGUUCUUGAAGCAAAGCAAGAUAACCAUGAUCGUAGAACAGACUACAAGAGCAAAGAACAAGAUGGUAAAAUGUUGAUCCAUAGAAAAGCUCUUCAAUGAAAGACUUUCAACGGCUAUGUUCCAAUGGGAAAAUGAGAGAUAAAUCUAUAAAGAGCCGAAGCUUCAAAGAAUAUGAGGUUGUUGACUUGAAACAAAGUAAGUCAUAUAGAUUUUAAUAGAGAAAAGGUCUCAAUGAGAGUGAAACCACCACAGAAGAGUGAAGCACAACUAAUGAGAUUCAUACAAUUAAACAACUUUACUCUAUACAAAGGACUAUGACAACGUAGUGGCAUCUGUACUGAGAGUCGAAAGGCCAAAAAGACAACAAGUAGAGUGGCAAAUCAGAAAGCAGAAUACCUGAGUCACUCUACGAUUCACCAUGAACAUAGUGAGCUAAAAAAAAGAAGAUAUAGAACCAAAUCUAUGCACAAGAAAACCAGUGGUGAAGGACUACUAAGUACCAGAAGAAGUCAAGUUGAUAUGUAAGACUUAGCAGUACAUAAAUGCUGAUAGUGUGCAAUAUUGAAUAUCAGAUGAAGACAAACAUCAACAACAAAGAUCAGCAAUACCAAGAGAUAAGUUAGACUGCUAAGAACAACAAGAUGUCAAACUGAACGUACAUCUUAGUAGUCCAUCAAUUGUGAUCUACUAUCAAGCUGAAUACUACAUGAUAACUAGAAGCUGCUAAGUACCAGAGGAUGAACAAGCUGGAUGUCAUCUUAGAAGCUCAACAACAACAAACAACCAUCCAAUCAACCAGGGCCUGCAGGGUCCUUGUCUUAAUGACUAAACCAAAGUCAAAUCUACUGGGCUUGCUAAGUACCGGAGGGUAAAAGAGAUUCUAAGUCUGCCGGGCUUAGUCUAUAGUUUCCAAAAAGGUAUACUUUUUAGAAACUAACAAAAGGGUAUACUUUAUUCCCACUUCCUUCAAGUUAAAUCACUCUCCUUCAUCAAAUUUCCAUCAAUUUGAUAAAUUUCCUAGGUGGAUCGAGCUUAUUCCAAACCCACAAAACAAAUUUCCAGUUACAGAGUCCCAACACUCUAUGACUGAUGAACCAAAUUAAUCAUCCAUUCCAAUCGCGGUACAUCCUUCUCACACCACGAUCGUAGACCUUCUUGACACCACUACGAUAGAUCAAAAUAACAACUUAUCUUUUGACCAACAAAUAAAUGACUCAAUAACUCAUUUUGAUGUUCCUUUAUCCUCCAAUAACGAUUACUUCAGUCUAGCUCUUGCUCUCUCAAACUUGCAAAAAUAGAAGAUAAAAACCUCUCCUUCUGACAUUCAGAAAAUAAUCGAUCAUCUUUCUCUACUUCCCACCAAGGAUGAGUUAACUGAAGUUUCAAAGAAAGUGGCCAAGGAGAUGGAAGAAAACCUUGAGGCCCACUCUCUCAUUAUUCAUCAACGGUUUAACAACUUGAUCGAUGCUGCCAAUAAUCUUCUUGGCAUAUUGGGAUCUGACAAGAGAUUAAAGAUGAUUAUAAAUGAGAUGAUAGAGAGCAUAAAAGAAAGGGAUUAACUUCACUUCCACUCUACGAAUAAACAUAAGGAAUUAGUUCUCCUUCUUCAAAAGACUCAGGAAUCGCAGAACAAGCUCGUUACUGAAAAUAUCAUAAGCAUGUGUUCCUCCCCAACUGAAUUUAAAGAGUACUUCUUAACUCAGAUAAGGCAUACAAAUGAUCUCUUAGCCAUCAUUCAUCAAUAAAAAGUCGAGAUUGACACUAUGGUCCAAGAGAAUCGCAAUGACAUUGCCCAGUUGCACACUCAACUACAUGAACUGGUGCAAGGAAUGAUUCAUCUAUCUCAAGAUAUUUGAACCCUAGAUACUGACAUAAAAGGAGAUAAUACUGGGGAGAAAGGUAAAGGGAAAGGGAAACAGGUUGCAUAUUCUUCAAGGAGUAAUCCUCGCAAUCAGCCCCCAAGAACAGAGCAACACCAACAAAUAAUAAUGGUAUCCCCACUGAGGAGUCAAGGCCCUACGCCUUUCAGGCAGCGAGAAGCAUCUCGCACUGGCCUAAGCAUGCCCAUUGGAGAUCCUGCCUUCAUAAAUAGACAUGAUCAAAAUGAACCUCUGGAGAAAAGUGAGUUGGAAGAGAUUGCAAGACGAAAUGAGGCAAGCAAGAAAAGGAGGGAAUACGAAUGUGCACAUCCUCCAAGAUUCAAGAGACCAAGAAGAUAAGUUCCUAUUUUUAUUUGAUAUAUCAAUUAUGAACUGUAAUAUCCUUGAAAAACAUCAAUAAAUUCAUGAUUAUUUUCUAAGAGAUUCAUUUGCUCACUGAUCAUUAAGUCAUGUUUAUUUUCAAGCAACUUGCAUUAAGAAUUGAUGGUAUGGUGCAAAUCUACUUGGUUAUGUCAACAUCAAAUAGGGGGAGAUUGUUGGGAGUUGCAUAUUUAGAUUUGAUGUUAGAAUAAAUAAAUGUGCAUGCAUUAUCAAAAGAUGUAAAGUCCUUAUUAUAUCAUAUGUACAAGGACUUAGAUUAAAGAUCAAAGUUGUUAAGUUGAUCUAAGCUUUAUGUUUACCUUUUUGUAAAAUCUCUUGUAGUAGAAAGAUCAAACUUGUUAGGUUGAUCUUAUGAAUUGUAAUAGAUAGGACCAGGACAAAAUUGUAGUCUGGUAAGAAAAGCAAGAGAUUACAGAAGACAAGGCAGAAUCGUAGUCUGCCGAGCAAGCCUCUCGGGAUCAUAGAAGCAAUUUACCGAGUGCCUGUCGAGCUAAGUUAAAAAUCUUAGGUACAGCUCGAAAUCGUGGAAUCUUCAAGGCAUCACUGAUUAAAAUCGUAGUAAGUCAAGCACUGUUAAAGAUAAGGCAGAAUCGUAGAGUAAUCAGAGGUAGUCCAGAGUAAAUCGCCUACAAGCACUUAUCAACAGACCACGAUCAUAGUGUAGUUCAUCAGUCAGCAUCAGAAUCUUUGAAGUUCGAUUGUCUGAUGAACAAAAAUGUCUGACAAUAAUGACUGAUAUUUGAACAUUGAUGUUUGAGAAUCCCAAUACUCUCACCAACAUCCCUGACCUAAAUCGAAGAGCCAAAAGGGAAAAGAAAAGUGACUUUCAACUGGUCUGAUGAAAGUGACUUUUCAAAGGUGGUAGGUGAGAAAGCAGUCUGUUGUGUCAGGCAAGUCAGAAAGGAGUAUUCACAUAAUCCUAGGAUGUCAACAUCAAGAUCCUAGAAUAUCUGAAGCAUUAAAUGCUUCAACGAAAGCUUCUCAACGGGAAGAUUUCAAAGGCUCCUACAUAAGGAAAACAGAUUAAAGAUUAUAGACAAGCAAGAACGCACAAAUCAUUAGAACAUUUAUCAAAGCCUCACUCUAUGAAUUUGAAGAGAAGUCUUGCUCAGCUACUAAGUUCUUCAAAACUUAUUCUUAAGGCAACUUAGUAGCACAACAUCAACAAAACUUUUAUAACAGAACUGCCAAGUCUGCUGGACUUGAAGAGUACUCAAUGUACUAGUGAUUCAAGUCUGUUCGGCUUGAAAAGUUCUUAGUAAACUAUUGUUCCAAGACUGCUGGUCUUGAAGGAAUCCCAGUGAUUCGAAUAUUGUAUCAAUAUCCUUAGUGGAUUUUCUACUCGUGGAGUAGAAUCGUGGACUAGGAGUCUUGAGUGCUCUGAACCACUUAAAACACGGUGUCAUUUACUUUCAGUCUUUUAACUGCUAUAACUGUUAUUUAAAUUAUAACUUAUGUUUUAUCUUAAAGGGGAUAAUUAAUUCAUACAUUUCGUUGUGGUUAAUUAAUUAUUGAAUUAACAAAUCUAUUAAGUUACUAUUUGAAAAGAAAAAGAUUUUAAAUAUCUAUUCAACCCCCCGUUCUAGAUAACUUUUAUGCCUCAGAGAACUAACAAUAUUAACCAUUCAGAUCUUAAUUACUCAAUUUUAUCAAACACCACCUUAACCCCUUUAUAUAAAAACGAACCCAUUAUCUCGUCCACACAAAUAUUAUUAUAAAAUCAUUAUUUUGUUAAUAUUUUAUGUUAUAAAAAUAAUUUAUUAGAUAGUGUAGUUAAUUUUUUAUAAUUAAAUCACAUGCUUGAUGAUUUUAUUAAAUUCAUACUAAUAUUUUAAUAAUAAAAAAAAGUAAUAAUAGAUUAUUAUUAUUAUUAUUAUUUGUGAAAAAAUAUUAAUCGAUUAAUAUUUUAUGAGAAAAUUGAAUUUUUUGGCACCAAGAAAUUUUUUAACUUUUUUAGUACCAAUAUUUUUUUAUAUCAAGAUUAAACACUUUCCGUAUUGUAACUCAAAUUCAUUAUAUUUUAAUUAAUUAAAAGUUAAGCAUUUUCAAAUUUUAUUAAUUAUUAAUAUCGUAUUUGUUAUGUAUUUAUGACAUUAUUGGUGCAAUAAUGCUUCGACCAAUAAAUCAUACACAUGGGAACUUUUUUUGUUCGAUGACAUAUUACAUUUAACCAUUAUUGUAGUACAAUCUAAUAACAGGGUAAAGAGAUGAUUGAAGGUUUUUUGGUUACGAGCGUUUGCAGCAUUCAAGGCAAUAGCGUUUGGACCUCUAAAUAAAUCCCACCAUUUUUGAUUUGUUACGUUUGAGUCAUAAACGCUACGUUUGUAAGUUAAAUAAGUUACGUUUGAAAUAAAGACUUUUAAAAGAGAAUUUUUUUGAUACAUUUAGACUCUAAAAUGCUCCAAACGCACUACACUACAAAAAUGUUGUAUGUAUAACUAAGGGGGUUGAGAAUCGAACCUAGGUUAUAUAUCACGAUGGGUAAGGUAUCUAUCAAUGCUACCAGCUAUCUUCUCAACUAUGCAUAACUAGACAACUGAAUUUCACAUUUUUGCAUAAAAAUGAAAUAAAACGUCGAAAUAGACAAAAUUUGAAAAACACAUUAUAAAUAAAGCAUAGACAAAAAAACCCUAGGGGAGGAAAGAGAGAGAAUGCACCAAAACAAACUCAUGUGCUCAACCUUGGAAUUUGAGCCAAAGUCACAGCUAUACUCGUUGCUUGGGGCCAAAGUCAUGACUCAACCCCUAGAUCCAAUUUCAACAAUAGUUAUUCCUUGUUUCUACAUUAUUUACAAAAAGAGAAAAAAUAGAAGAGAGAGAAUCCCCAAAAGAGAGAAAGCACGAAAAUUAUUAGUUUAUAGGAUUAUAUACAUAUCUAGAGAAAGAAAAAUACAAAAAAAAAUCUCCAAUUCAAUUCAUCUUCAACCUAAGCAACAAAGAGAAAGUGAAAAUUUAUUCAAGACACCUACCUUUUCCUCAAUUCUAGCAAGGUCCAAUUUUAAUUCUCUCAAUUUUAUUGAAUUGUCUAUCCUUAUAUCAUUUUAUCUAUCUCAAUUAUAUUAUAUGAAUUUUUGAAUUGUAUGCAAGUAUUGGAAGUAGAAUUGUUGGAGUAUUUUUUUCAAUUGGAAAUGAUGUAAGUGAAUCUAAGGCUCAUGGAUCCAUACCCACGGUGAAUUAGGCCUAGUCCAUGAUGGACCUCUAAAUUAGAUUAAUGUAAUUGCUUUAAUUUUGAAUUAUUCCUUUGUUGUGAGCUUAGGAAAAGGCUCAAUGCUUCUAAAUUCAUAUAAGAGAAGUGGGGUCCUCUUCUAAUUAAACAUUUUGAAAUUAAAUCGUGAUAUUUGAAUUGAUGAGAAUUUGGUGAAAUUGUGAAUCUAGGAGGAACCCAAGGCUUUUAAAUUCAUAUUUGGAGGAAUUAACAUCUUCUUUCCAUAAUGUACAUUUGAAAUUGGAUUUGUGUUGGUGUUUACAAAUCAUCUAUAGGCCUUAAAAUCAUUUGGGUUGCUUUUAUAUAUCUCUUAAAAGUGGAGUUUAAGGCCCAAAAUAGUGAAUAUUAGUAUGAUUUUGGUAAUGGGUCAAAUGUGAUGGUUUUUAUAGCCUAAGUUGAACCUAUCCCAUUUUCCUUGUUUUGAGUAACAAAAAAUAAUUUUUAAAAAUUAACGAUUUUCUAAAAUGAAGCAAAUUCAAAGGGUAAAAACUAAAUACUUGAAAAGGACUCUUGGCUAAAAAUCACUUUUGAAAACUACGCUUGAAACACAUUUAAAAAAUCACUUUUGAAAACUGCACUUACAAUCACAUUUCAAAAACUCACUUUUGAAAAAUACACAUUUGAAAAACACACUUGAAAAAAUCACUUUUGAAAAUUACAUAACUAAACUCACUUUUGAAAACACGAGUUUAGAAACUAAGCUCACUCUUGAAAACACACAAGUUUAGAAACCGAACUCACUUUUAAAAACACAUGAGUUUAGAAACCAAACUCAAAACCUUUUGAAAAACACACAUUUAUGAGUUUAGAAACCAAACUCCCAACUUUUUGAAAAUCACAUUCACGAACCUUUGUGGAUACGCACAUUAAGAGUUUAAAAACCAAACUCCUCAUUUGAAAAACACAUGAGUUUAGAAACCAAACUUGCCUUCUUUUGAAAAACACCCUUCAUAAGUUUAGAAACCAGACUCCCAAACCUUUUAAAAAACGCACACACAACUUUAGAAAUCAAACUUACGAAAAUCAUAAUUCAAACAAACCAAAAGAUUCUUUCUACCCAAAUUGAACCCCAUUAGGAUAAAUUAAAUGGACUUACCCGCAAUGCAUAACACGGAACACAUACGCAUUAUGGAAUGACACAAAACAAUAGGCACGACACACGUAUAACAUACACUAAGGCAACUCUUUCAAAACAUCAUAAAAGAUUAGGAAGACGGUAACCAUGAUUCAGCAAGUCAGGGGGUACCUAACACAUUCUCCUCGCUUAAACAAGCCCCCGAACUCUUUACGGACCAAUGCAAUGGGAGUCACAUUAUAGGCCAUCUAUCUUUAAAACCUUAAAAACUCGAAUGGGUUGGUACGUACAUCCAAUUAAACUUAUACCAACUGAUGACUCUGUUACAUUGGCCCAUAUCUAAAAAUCAACCUUUCAAAAAUCAUCGACAAAAGAACUGUUUUCCAAAGAUCUCACAAACCACACACAAUUAAAGGAAAAUGAGAGUGUGCUUGGCAGAUAUAAAAAAGACUUAAAAAAAUUUCUCCCGAUGUCAACAAAUAAGUUAAAAGGUUGAUAUGUGCGACGAUUUACUACAUGAUUUUACUAUAUGAUGAUGAUUAUAAUAAAUACUCUUCUGUUAGAUAUCCAACAAGAAUUUUCAUUGAAUGAAUAACGGAUCCAGAUCUUGGAAACAAUAAUGAUUUCAAAUAAGCAUGAGUAAUCAAAUGAAAUAUAACAUUUCGAUAAUAUCUCAUUUCAACCAAUUAUGUGCUUCAAUAUAAUUACAUGCCUUUCAAAGAGUGCAUAAUAGCUCAGGGAUUGAGCGCUCUUGCGCUAAAGCCUAGAAACAGAAUUAUGCCACUUAGGCUUAUUAUGUAAUUAUGGAUGAAAGGGGUCAUCACGUAGUUUUUGUUCCUCGAUAAUAUAUAUUGAUACUUUCAAAGUUAGAAAAAAGGAGCCACUUGAGAUAAUUAACAUUAUAUUAGUUAAAAUUAAAUGAAUUCAUAUCACUUUAAAAUGUCUCAAAUUGAUUUCAAAAAGUUGAUAGCACUAAUAGCACUUUAAUCCCUCAAGUUUUAUCUUUUCUAAAUUAGUUAAGUCCAUAAUAUACUUAUUCUUUCAAUUCGGACCCCCAAGUGUUAUUAAGUGAACACGCUAGACCCUAAUUGGUAAUUCGAUAGGUCUUUUACUCGGAAAUGAUGUCGUGACAUAACUCUUUUCGACAAAAAUUAGGCCAAAUAUCGGAUUUGAGUGUGUAUCGAUAACAUAGUAUAACUUGUGGGCCCAUAUUGAGAGAAUUAAUACUUUAAGAGUUCAAAUAUAAAACAAAUGGAAUUUCAACGGUUAAUAUGCUAUUAGCCCUAAUUAUUAAUAAUCUUUAUUUUAGAACAGUAAAAAUAUUAUAUAUUUAAAUAAAACUACUAUCACAUAAUGGUGGCUCACAUAAUUCUCACAUACACACAUACAUAUUUAUGGGUCCCAUAUGUUAAGUGGGGUCCACAAUAUGCAUGUAUGUAUGUGAGCAUUAUAUGAGCUUUUUUUAUGUGGUAGUAGUAUUGUUGUAUAUAUUUAUCAAGACUAAAAGACAAUGUGCACCCCAAACUUUACACUCAUGUUGACUUUUGCAACCCAAAUCGAAAAAAUGUCUAAGUACACCCCAAACUUCAAUUAAACAUAACAGAAAACACACUUUCGUUAGUUAACUGGUCAAAAGUGACUGGCUAAGGCUGUAAUGUUUAUUAUAGAGGGGUAAGCUUGGUAGUUUAUAUUUAUUUCACACAAUCCCCUACCUUCUCUCUCUCUCUGUUAAACCCAGACUCCUACACUGAGUCAACUCACCCAUACACCACCCACAUCUCACUUUCUCUCUACUUCAACUUCUCCACCUCCACCAUCCUCUCCUCCGCCCUCCUCUCUCUCUCUCCUCCCCUCACUCCGGCCCCUUCAGCCUCGACACCCAAUCUCUCUCCAUUUCAAUCGUUCUUGAUCCUUCCGCCAAAACCCCUCUCCCAUUUUCUCUAUCCUCCAUUGUUGACUCCGUCAAGGGACAAUUGCUUACAGUUUCUCUCUCUAACCACUCCCAAUUCCUCAUUCUCUUCUCCACUAGCCCUUCCAGCUCUGCCCUACAGUGGAUGUCCCCGCCCCAGACGUUUAAUAAGCUCUUCCAUCUUUUAUUGCAAUAUCAUCAUCAACAUCAUCAUCUUAAUUAUCAUUUGCAUCAUUGUCAUCAUACAUAAAUAUGAAAAGGACUUUGGAAAUGGUUUAUUACCAAGUAAAACCACUUCAAAAAGGAAAUGUGAGAAGGGCAUCCGGAUAAAUUACUUGGACACCUUUGAGACUAUCUGAAAGAUUGCUUGCUUCUUCCUCAGCCUUAUGUUUCUCUUUCUCUACUUCAAACUUUGGCUUCCAGUUAGUUUGUCUAUAUGCUUCUACUACCUUCUCGUCACUUGCUAUCAAAAUAUUGUCGAACAAUAUGCAUUCUUGCAUUGUCCAAAUUUUAAUGCCAAUAGCAACAAUAGGCUCAAAAUCAGGUUUGUCAAGUUCAAAGUAGACGGGGUUCGGAAUUUGCUGAGGCUUCUAUAUACCCUUGUAGUAGGGGUUGUCAAUAAGUACAUAAGUAUAUUGUUUCUAUUUCCAACUCUUUUUACAUAAAUGAAACCCUUGACUAUAUUUUAUUUCCUGUCUAGCGUCAAAUUAUUGAGAUUUGACAGUCUUACGGGCUAGCUAUAUAAUCAAGUGGACCUAGUAACUUAAAUAACUUCUUUAAUUUUGAUUUCAGAAGAGAAGAUGGGGAAGCUGCUGGAGUCUAUACUGGUGUUUUGGUUCUUACAAACACAAUAAAAGAAUUGGUCAUGCUACCCUUGUUCCUGAAGCAACAGUGCCUGGAGCUGCAGCCCCUCUCGCAAAAACUCUGAAUAACUCAUCCACCAUAGUAUUUCCUUUCAUUGCUCCUCCGUCGUCUCUUGCAUCUUUUCUCCAAUUAGAUCCCCCUUCUGCCACCCAAUCACCGGCUGGAUUACUCUCCCUUACAUCUCUCUCUGUCAAUUCCUAUUCCCAAGGUGGGACAACCUCCAUUUUCGCCAUCCGACCCUAUACAUACGAAACUCAGUUAGUUUCACCAUAUGUAUUCUCUACAUUCACCACUGAACCAUCCACUGCUUCUUUCACUCUGCCUCCUGAAUCUGUGCAAAUGACAACACCUUCAUCACCUGAAGUGCCUUUCACUCAGCUUUUGGCUUCAUCUCUAGCUCGCACUUGAAGGAACAGUGGGAUAAAUCAAAAUUUCUCAUUAUCCCAGUAUGAGUUUCAGCCUUAUCAGUUGUACCCAGGAAGUCCAGGUGGCUACCUCAUAUCAUCAGGCUCAACAAUUCCAAAUUCUGGAACAUCUUCACCUUUCCCUGAUAAGCAACGAAUUAUUGAGUUUCGAGUGGGGGAAACUCCCAAAUUUCUUGGCUAUGAAUAUUUUUCCACUCAGAAGUGGGGUUCAAGGCUAGGUUCUGAAUCUUUAACACCAAAUGUCUUGGGUUCAAGGUUAGAUUCUGGCUCCUUGACGCCAAAUGGUGGUGUCUCAAGGUUAUGUUCUGGUUCUUUGACGCUAAACGAUUGGGGUUCAAGGCUAGGAUCCGGUUUGAUUUUUUUUGUGGUGGGUUAUGGUGGUGGAAUUGUGGGAAGAGUUGGUGUUGCAGUGUUGAUGAAAGGUUGUGAUGCAGUGUUUUUGUGGUGGUUGUUGUGUUUCAUUCAUAUGCCCCUUUUCAGAUCCAACACAAAGAAGAAAGAAGAAAAUGAUACCAUUGAUGUACGUACUUCGAAACCUUACAUCCCCAAAUCUGUCACACACUAUGCCUGCCGCCGCCGCCGCCAUCGUCAUUGUCAACCACCGUCUUCCCCAUGCUCAAACACCCUUCCCUUGGCAAACCACUACCAUCUCCCAAUAACUUUUUCAACUCUUAAUUUCUAAAUUUGGGCUAGAACUCUCAAAGGUGAUGAAAUAUGUGUAUUCAUGACGAUGAGGUGUGAAGAAAAUUUUGACGAGAGACUAGUUAGAUACCACGAUUUGAGUUUUGGACUACAAAGAUUAUGGUUGCAAUGACUAUGGCGAUGGGUGGGUAGAUUUUCAUUUUAAGACUUUGGAAUUAGAAUUUGGGUUAAAGGUUAUUGAUAGAAAAUUUGAGUUAAGGGUUAUUGGGUGGGAUGAUUGUGGUUGAAAUUGGUUUGGUACAGUGGGUUUUUUAUGGGAAAAAUUGGGGAUUGAGAGCAAUUGACUUAAAGAGGAGAAACAGGGAAAAUUGGUUUGGUUUGGUUUGGUUUGGUAAAGAAACAUGAGAGGAAUUAGCUGAUGAAGAAAAUAUGGAAAAGACUUAAAUACCCCUUUAGAUGCAUAUGUGUGCCUUAGCCGGUCACUUUUGACCGGUUAAGUGAAGAAAAUGUAUUUUUUGUUAAGUGUAAUUGAAGUUUGAGAUGUACUUAGACACUUUUUUUAAUUUGAGAUAUAAAAAUUAAUAAUAAUAUAAAAUUUGGGGUGCAAAUUAUCUUUUAGUCUUUUUAUCGAUCUAGACAAAGAGCAUUUAUAUUAAGGUUAAAACAUGCACAAGUUUUUCUUAGUCUGUUAAGACACAUGCCUAUAAACUCGGGGAUACAGUCGCAACUAUGACCGGAAUAUUGUCAUACAUCAAAUAAGUACCAAAUGAAACACUUUUAUUUGACCAUUAUUAUUCAACUGCAAUCACCAAAAGUUCUCCGCCAAACCAGUUUACCUGCAUAAGAAAAAAAAACAUAAGUCAAAAGAAAAUAAUACUGACCGAUGGAAAAUGAAUAUUGUGACUAUGAAUUAUUAUAUAAGUAAUGCUACAUAUACAAAUUAUUUUAUAAAUAUUUUAUAAAUUGUUAAUGUGAUAUAUUUCACUUGAACAUAUUGAUCAACAAAUUGUUUUAAUGUAAUUUUCGGUCCCACGCAAUAUACUGAUGUAGAGUAUGCCACAUCAACAAUUUGUAAAAUGUUUGUAAAAUAGUUUGUCUCUAGCAUUAUACUUAUUAUAUAAACUGCACUCCCUUAGUCCCAAAACUAAAAUUUUAUACCCUCCAAUAACAUGUCAGGGAAGGAAUUUAAGAGAAAAUCAAUAGAUUUACUACAUAUCAUGUAAUAAAAUAGUUUUACCACCGUAAAUAAUAAAUAUAAAAUAUGUCAAUGCACUAAAAUUCUUUAAUUUUCUCCUAAAUUCACCACAUGACAUGUUAUUGUAGAGUGUAAAACUCAGUUUUACAUACCAUCCUUAUACUCGGUAAUGAUUUUAAUUCUCUUUCAAGAAAUAGACUAAAAGUUACGUAUCUUUAAAUCAUUUUUAGCUUGACAUAAACACCAUAUUUGUCAUAUAUUUUUGAAAACUCUUAAUUAUGCAAAUUAAGCCACUUGUUAAUUAAGUACAUACUUAAGAGGGAGAGAUGAGUUAGAUAAGUUACCCAAGAUGGAAAGACUUCUUGUCAGGAAGUUGGUAAGUAGCUGCAGUUUGAGGAUCCUGAUGAUAUUGAUGAUCAGCUGGAGGAUCCAUGAUAUUCAGCUGAAGCACAUUUCGAGCUGCAAGGAAUGCCUGGAUUUCGUGAUACUGAUCGUGUCCGCCUGUUGGCACCAUGCUUAGUUCCUGGAGCCUCUCAUUUUCUGCUAUCUGAACUCAAGAACAUUUGGAACUAAAUGAUUUAAUUAUAUGGGCUAUGUUUUUGGAAUGUAAAUAAAUGUAAUAAUAUCGAUAUGAAGGAAUAUUAUAUUUUUGAAAUCUAAAUAAAUUUAAGUAUCUUGCACUUUCUAACCUUAUGUAAUUAAUAAGAUGCAAAGGAAUUAAUAUGUUUUUGGAAUCUAAACAAGUUUAAUUAUGUAUCUUGAAUUUUCUUCUAACCUUAUGUAAUAAGAAAACUACUGAAGCCAUGAACCAUAAACCAUAAAAGAAAUAAAUUGUUUAUAUUAUUUCUGUCUUUUCUUAAGAAAUUUUACUUAAUUAUGGACUUCUUACAUAAUUUAAUUAAAAGAUUGAUCAAGUUUCUGGAUAGAAGAUGAAAAUGCUAGACGAGUUAGACCCUGAGAAUCCAUAAAUAGUGUUUUCUAAUUUUGGCAGAAGCCAUAUUUAUUUAGAGAACUGGCAUUUUUACAUGUAUUUUUGAUAUUAAUUUUUACACUGUCCUCUCUCACAUGAGCAUACAAUGAGUCUCAUCUUCAUGUGAGAAGAAACUGUAUGAAAAUAUCAAAAAUACAUGUAAAAAUAGUGCUCCCUUUAUUUAUGAGAAAUAUGCAAAGCUUAAAUCAAUCUUGAGAAACUAAUGGUUUUGAUAAAAUAUAUACCUUUGCUCUUAGGAAAGCAUUUUCAUGCUCCAGCUCGUUUUCCUGUGAAGAUGAUUUUUCGAAAAAAUAAAAAUAAAAAUUGGUAAUAGGAGAUUUUUUCAGUAAUCAUAAGCAAAUCAAACAUGAGAGAGAGAGAGAGGGAGAGAGAUGUCAAAGGAACAAGUGUAUAGAGGUACAAGUUUAAGAUGUUACCCUUUUCUGCAAACCUUCAGCCUCAGCAAGUAGCAUCUCAUGCUGUUCCAGUACCAUACAAUAUUAACGUGAAUGCAAUAUACAUAAAGAAGAAGGAAAAAUUGGCGAAAAUUCAGAGUGAAGCACUUAAAACUAAAGCUAGAAUGUUAAUUACGUUUUAGUACAUUGACUCAAUGGUCUAUGUCAAUUUUCACAUGAAGAAUAUAAUAGCAUAAUGACUUCUAGGAUUCGUAUGUAGGAAUAUUCUUUUAGGGACAUGAAAAAGGGAAAGAAAAUUUAGACUGUUGAAGGCUUGAAGAAACCCUCAAACACUACUCUCAGUUUCCAUUCGUUAUUGUAAAACUAGAGUUCUAGCGUAGACCAAUAUGGAGACAAUGUUCUACUACUUAAAGUUUCUCACUUUGUACAUAUAUGAUACCUCAAGUUUAUCACUUUGUCAAGAUAUGAUACUUGAUUUUACAAUAUAAUAAAUCACGAAGCACAAGGUAGCGAUUUAUCAUAUUGUAAAGUCAGAUAUCAUAUAUCCGAAAGUGAUAAAUUCAUGAUACAAUUUUACAUUUUUAGUCCUUUUUAUUUCUCUUCCCCAUUUUCAGUAUGGUCUUUUCUUUCCUGUCUUUCUUUAAAGGAAGUAAUGCAUGCAAAUAACAUUCAAUCUAUACAAGCUAUUAAACACAUGAUUCAACCUGCGAAUAUUCCCUCAAUGUAUCUUCCUUUUAUUUUGGGCAAAUUACACUUAUGUUACAUGUCUAACUUUCACUCUCAUCAUAAUUCGGCUUCUAAAGUAAUUGAGAUUACAAAUCCGUUAUAUCAACUAACUAAUUUUAUAUAAUGUCCACUCCAAAUUCAAAUUUCGGUAGAAAUUGGCCCUAAAAAUCUGAUCCUGCCGAUAACCCAAUCUGACCCAGCCGACAAACCAAUCAGACUCGAUUGGUUUUAUAUGAUUUGACCGUAUUUAGAUAUGAUUCGACUUCAAAAAAUAUUUAUAGGUGCAUUUUUAUUUGUGUUGUGGCAUGAUUGAAUAGGCCCAGAUGGUUCGAUGGCCCCCAGGCCACGUGGAGGAAUCUUUCUCGUGUAGGAAUAUAUUAUGGGCAGUAAGUAGAGUUUUUAGGAAUCUAUGAUUCCUGGUUGCAUUUAAUUUCUAAUUCAUAAGGAAAUAGUCAGGAUUAUAUUCGGCUUUCUUUCUAUAAGGAGAUUGACUCCUACCCCAGAAUGGUAGUUAUUGUGAUAAGGAAUUUUAGUCCAAUUCGGGGACGGGGAGUUAAGGGUGGUGUGAUCAACUAUAAAUACAAGGAUAUACCCUAAUUCACAGGUAACAACAUUGUUUUGAGCAUUAAAGCAUUAACCCUCCAUUGUUAACCUAUUUUUCAAUAUGUUCUUAUUCUCACAUCAGAGCUAUCCCCCGACGGCCUAGGGCGUCAAGUUCCUACGUGUGACUUCGUUUUUGUACAGGAUUGGACGUGUUCUGUGUGAUUGGACGCGUGGAUAAAUCUUGGCAUUAACAUUGGCGCUAGAAUGAGGGCCUAUUUGGUGCUUAUCAAUUCUCUCAAUCACCCAGAAUUGUAAUAGGAGUUAUUGUGACGAGUAAGGAAAACACAGUUCCAGGAUAGGAGAAAUCCUCUGCUCAACCCAAGGGUUUGGUCAAAGACAGGUUGGGACCCUCCAAUUAUGUCUCGGACAGACUCGAACCUAAGAGUCACUCCGUGGGCCCAACGAACGCUAGGACGACCCCAAUCAGACGACAAUUGUUCUCUGCCAGUUAGAAGGCGACAAACUCGCAUAGUCAUGUCGAGGAUACUCAGUCCCAGACACGUACACAGGGGGAUCGGAACUUAAAACACGACGAUCAGGAUAAAAGGGAACUGAUUCUGGCCAAGAAGAUGCAGGAGCAUAAGGAUGUUAUAGAGGUCAUGCGCCUUCAACAGAAAGAACUAGGCACCCAAAUGGCAACAUUGAUGCGCGUAGAGGAAAUUUCUCCGAGCUAUCAUCGUCACUAGGAAGCUAAGCCAGAUGACCGAUCCAGGAAACAUCGUUCGGAUGACUCUUAGUGCGAAAAGAGUAGGCGAUGAAGCCGCUCUCGGGAAGGUAGUAGCGAAGGUCGAGGGAGAACAGGACGUAAGCAGCGGGUGGCUUCACCGAAUCACAAUUGGGAUUGGCGUAAGUCAUCCCCCGAGGGAGGAAUCUGACCCCCUCACACGAAAAGUGACAGAGCUGGAACAGAAGCUAGCAACGGUCAAUCAGGAAAAUAAGGUGUCGGUUGAUCCAACAUCAUCCUUUACUCCGGAGAUAGAUUGGGUUCGGUCCGAUCCCAACAAAAAAGUUCUGCAUCUGGAGAGUUGCGAUGGUAAUGGCGAUCCCUAUGACCCUACCCAAGCGUAUGAUCGACUCAUAAGGUUUAAUGAUUAUUUUAAUGUUGUCAAGUGUUAGAUGUUCAUCACAGCCCUGACGAAGGAGGCUCGACAAUGGAUGACGUCGUAGCCGUCGAACUUUAUCUCGUCAUGGAAAUAACUCUGGAAUAAGUUUCAUAAUCGGUUCGAGAGUAACAAAAGAAGGGGAAAGUCGACAGCUUUCCUGAUGCAGAUAAUACAGCACUCAAACGAAACCUUGAGCUAGUACAUGAAGAGAUUUCGCGAGGCCGUUAAAGCAAUGACGGAUCUGAAUGGACCUCAGGCCCUCAGAUUCUUCAUUAUUGGGCUGGACGUGGUGAAGUCAAAGAAGUUGAUAAAGGAUAUUAUGUUCGACCCGCCAAAGGAUUUGUCCGAAGCUUAUGAUCAAGAGGAGAACUUCAUCGUUAUUGAAUAAUGUGACGCCCCCAAAAUAGGUCCAUUCCACCCAACCCAUUCUGAGUCGCCAAAUACAUGGUACAGAAAUAACUACAACUUCAAUAAUACAAAUGUCGUGUGAAAUACGACAAUACAUACUGUGAGUUUAAAUACAGAUAUUGCCGUCUAGACAAUAUCCACACGCAAAUAAAUCCCCAUCAUAAUUAUUGAUACAUUAUUUUACAAAAAUGGUGAGGACUACUAAACAACUCUCUCUAGAACCUUCAUUCCAUACCCCGACUCGAUCCUGCUAUGUUCUCACCUCCUGAGAAGAAAAUGGAACAACAAGGAAAAGGGUGAGCUCAACUAGCCCAGUAAAGAAUAUUAUGACUAAGAUAAUAUACAACAAAUUAUCGUUAGUCUUCAACAGGGAAAAAUCUAAUAGAAUACAAUAGACAACAAGUUUUAGAUCAACAAAUGCAGCGGAAACAGCAAUCCAUUAGAAGAGUCACGUAGAGAAAGAAUUCUACUGUCUUCUAAGGUUUAAAAGUCCAUCAUCAAUAUUUUAUCCCUGUAACAACAAUCAAUAUUCAUCUUUGCACUACAGGCCAAAGAUAUUCAUUUAAAUCACCAGUUGGUCAUGUUCAUCUCAACACCUGUUCAUCUUUGCACUACAGGCCAAAGAUAUUCAUCAGUUAAUCGUUCAUCUUUGCACUACAGGCCAAAGAUAUUCAUUUAUAUCACCAUUUAGGACUGAGGAUGAUGAAAAACAUUUUUAAAGAAACGAAUCCAGUGAAACAAAAUGACAAGGAUUAAGGAUUAAGGAUUCGUACUUUGUUUUACCCAUGUCCAAAAAUACUUCGAAAAUAAUCAUAUUGGUGUAAAAUUCAAGAAUGAUCAAAACAUGGAUACAAUCAAAGCUAGUAUCCAGAAUAGAUAUUUUGGACAAAAAGAAAAAUUUUUAUUUUUCGGUGAAUAGUGCCGUAUUCGUGAAUAGUGUCGUAUACGUGAAUAGUGCCGUAUACGUGAAUAGUAACCCCGACACAACAAGUUCCAAAUUUGAUAAAAAAGUUCACCAAUACUUCGGCAUAAUGAUAUUGAAGAAAAAAUAUCAUUUAAGAAGAAAAUAAUACCCCUUACCUCAAAAUAACCGUACUUCUGACUGAAUUUCGGUAUAGUGCUGACAGAAACCCGCACCGUAUAGCAACACUCAAAGUAUACUCACAAGAAUACGCUCGAUAAUUUAGAGAGAGAAAGAGAGAAAACUUAGUUUCUGGUGUGAUUUUCAAUUCUAACUUAGCCCUCUAUUUAUAGGAAAAUGUUAGAACGCCAAAGGAGACUAAAUUAAUAAAUUAUUAUUAUUUAAAAUUACAUUUCUACGCAUGCCAUUUGAACACUUCAGCCACCAGCCAACCUUGACCCAAUUUCCAGCAGCCCACAUGUUCAAACAAGAGUGGGUCCCACCCAUUAUUUAAUAAAAAUUAUUUUAUCUUCCGAAACUUCAAUAAUUCGUAGAAAAUAGCUCGUUUAUCAGAAAAAUUCGAAACUCGCGACUUUCCAUGGGAAAUUCCAUUCUCUACAACUUUGCAGAAGAAAAUUUUUCCAAAUUCCAAACAGAAAUUGACCGAAAUCCAUAAACGGACGAUUUUACAGUCUAUAAUCAAUUUUCGGUCAAGAAUUGUGUCCACCGACACACAAAACAUAUGUUAAACAUUUAAUGCCACAAAAUACUCUACCUCCUCAUAUACUCAUAUAUCCCACAUUCAUUAUAAAAAUAUCACCGUUAAUAUAUUAUUAAAAUAAUAUAUUUAAAUGAAUUAUUUUAUCAGAAAAAGAUAAAAUAUUAAUUUUCAACAAUUGUCACAUUAAAAAUUUUCUCCAUCUAUAUCCACAUAAAAUAAAUAUUUUCUUUAUCAUAAUAAUCAAUAAUUAAUUAUUUAAAAAUAAUAUUACAGAAUCACAGUACUGACAACCAGGCCGUUCCCAGGAAAGAGGGGGCUUUCCAAUAAGGAUUUCUCCUUACUGGCGCGCAAUUAGGUGACCAAACCUCUCCUUAGACAGAACUUUCUAGACAUUGCCAAUAAUGUUAUCUGAUAAUAUUAUUCAAAUAAUAUGAAUUAUUGAUUUGAUAAUGGAAAAUACUGUGUAAUGACAAUUAUUGAAACAACAGCAAUACAAAAUAUCAACGCAGCAAUUAUUGAAUCAAUAAAAUAUAAUAUUGAACAGUAACUACUGUAACAAUUAUUGAGUAGUGCCUUCUUACGUAAGGAUCAAUAAUUCAAUAAUACUGUGCAAUACCGUGUGCUACUGUGCAACCACGCAUAUUACUGUAUUUUAACCACCAGGUAACCCAACAGUGUUAACGGUAACAAUUUACGCCGUUAUUUAUAAAACUCAAUCUUAAUCUUUGUCGUUUUCUUUCAUCCAUCUGUUUUCCGUUAUGGGGCCCACAAAUGACUGCGCCGUCGUACGGAGAUUCUCGACAAUACGAAUAUUCCACGACCAAACGAAUAUUCCCCGAC
rnacentral:lncRNA from 1 species